rnacentral:lncRNA from 1 species
GGGGAUCAACCUAUUACCUGGGCUACAAGGAUGCGCAUUGCCAUUGAUGUAGCGAGGGGGUUGUCCUUCUUACAUGGUUUAGAUGCCAAAGUCAUCUAUCGUGAUCUGAAGGCAUCCAAUAUUCUACUUGAUUCGGUAUGUUGAAGCCUUAAACUUAAUUUAUUGAUAUAAACUAACAUAACAAAUAUGCUAGACUUUUAUAUGGCUGAUGGACUGGUGAAAUCCAUUUCAGGAUUAUAAUGCAAAGCUUUCUGACUUUGGCCUAGCAAGGGAUGGUCCCACUGGAGAUAACACUCAUGUUUCAACCAAAGUGGUGGGAACUCGGGGUUAUGCUGCACCGGAAUAUGUGGCUACAGGUUAGUUAAGUUUUUGUUACAUAUUAAUUAUUUUUUUCUUUGCAUGUUAAACUACUUGUGUUUUGGAGAGUCUGGAUCCACAAUAUAUGAAACAACACAAAGGCAGAUAAAAAGAGGGUGAACUGAGAAACAGAAGUAACUGAAACAAAGGCGACCCAAGCCAGAGCUAGGUUACAACUCAACAAUUUUGUGAGAUACAUUUUGAAAUACACUACAUUCCUAAACUUGUUUUUAAGAAGCUCAAAAUGGUGGAAAUUGUCAGCAUUUGCUCUAAGGCGUGCCAGAAACUAAUGGGCAGAUGUAAUUUUACCCUUAUCAUUGGACAAAGUAGUUGGAACAAGUGAUAAAAGACAGAUUGAAGACCGAGUUGCAGGCAUGAUGAUCAUGACUGUAGUAUGCUUAUGGCAUGCCAAAGGGAAGUAGUGAAUGCUUGGAGAUUCUUCAAUUGUAAGUAAACAUUGGAACAUAGAAAUAAAAACUACGUUAAGUCCACAUUUCAGGGUGGUCAUUCGAUGAAGAAAACUAAUUUAAACCAAGAGUAAGGAAUGUAAUUAAAGUUAGCUUCUGGUGUUUACUGCUCUGAUAUUUUUGCUUGUAUAGCUGCGUGUUUGUCUAUUGUUUUACAUCUUAAUACAAGUUAAAGCAAAGAGAAUUUUGACAGCCUUUUCUUUCCUUUUGCUGGCUUAAACCAAGCAGGUCGCUUGACUCCAAAGAGCGAUGUCUACAGCUUUGGUGUUGUCUUGCUAGAAUUACUAUCAGGAAGAAGGGCAAUGGAUGAUGAGAGAGCUUAUUUUGUUGAAGAAACUCUGGUGGAUUGGGCAAAACCUUUUCUGAGUGACCCCAGGCGAGUUUUGAGAAUCAUGGACACCAGAUUGGGUGGUCAGUACUUCAAGAAAGGAGCCCAAGCUGCAGCUGCUCUUGCAUUGCAAUGCCUGCACACAGAUCCCAAAAAUAGGCCAUUGAUGAUUGAGGUUCUAACUGCAUUAGAAAAACUUAACACAUCAAAAGAUGCACCUAAGACACCCUCUCCAGCUAGGCUGGAUAGUCACUGGAUCAAGCGCGGGUCCUCACAGGAAUAAAAAGCAGCUACCAAUUUCAGUAUGAACAAUGUUUUCUCCUUGUGGUCUGACACAUCAAUCAUGUUUCUUGGAGAGCUAUUUUCAUGGUUUUCUACUGAAGUGCACUUGAAGCUAGUACAUCUCUCUAAAGCAAGUACAAAAUUAGUUAUACGCCAGAGCAGGCUAAAGCCAAAUUUAGCAAGAAGAAACAAUGUAUAUACAUAGUCUCUCAGCGUCUGGAGAAUGGCAUUGUGGAAAAGGCAUAUGUAUUAUCUGCAUAUUGUAAAUGGACGCUUUGGUGUUUGAGUUUUGUUUGUUACGAGCUAGGAUUGUUUUCAAACAAAAUCACAAAAUGAAGAGAAUGUUAAUGAGAUGAGAUGAGAUGAGGUGAGUUUAUUACUGUUUCUAACAAUAUUGCAUUCUCUUGGGGGGGUACUGGCAAGUCAAUUGUGAAAUUUAGUGGCAUUUUAGGUUCAUUCCUUAAUGUCUGAAAUAAGAGUGAUGAGUUGUUUUUUUUUUUUUCCUUCUAGUAAGUCUGUGUUAGUCAUCAUAGACUGGGGCAGUUAUUUGAGAAAAUUGAUCUUAAUUGAAUCGAUUCAUUUAAAACAGUAAUAAACUGAAUAGAAUGGAAGCACUUGAACAGAAUAUUGAUUUCCCAAGUUCAAUGUAUAUACUUUGGUUUCUAUAUAUAUAUUUUUUCUCUUGAAAUUCAAUUAUCUAUUAAAAUAUUUCCAAAUUAAAAACCCACUUGCCUUAUAUAGAUAAAAUUAAAAUGCCAAGUGAAAAAUCAAGUAAGAGAACCUCAUUGGAAAAGAAACAAAAAAACCCAGAAUUGCCUAUCAAAAGAACAAAGCUGGUGUAAAUUAAGGAAGCUGCUGCAAGACAAUGAGCCACCUUUGGCUUUAUUUCAACUUAUUCUGGAGACUGAGUGAUGAUAGAUAUAAUAUUUACUUCCAAAUAAGGAUUUAAAAUAGGAUGGCGUUUUCAUUUUCAUUUUCUUUUUCGUUUUUCUUUUUUAUAAAUAUUACCUUAUAAUAAAUUUUGAAACUCCACCUUAUAUCUCAUUUGAUAUACUUUUAAGUAAUUUUAAUAAUAAAUAUUGUUAUAAACUAUUUUAUGUCAGCUGUUUAUCAGCUUAUCAGUCACCUAAUAUUAUUUUAAUCAAAUAUAUAAUUACUUAAAAUUUGAAAUAUUUAUAAUCUUCAAAUAACUUAUAAGAGUGAAUAUUUGUUGGUUUACUUAAAAUGAAAAUUAAACCUAAUUAAGAUAAAAAUUAAUUUGAAUUUAAUUGAUCUGAUUGAAUUCGUUCAGUUUAGCUUUUUAAUAAAUUUUUUUUACAACUUAUUUUUAAUAUUCAAUUUUUAGUUAGGAUUAUCUUUCUGAAUUAUUUAAAUGACAUAAUAUUAUAAUUAUUUAGUUCGAUUUUAUUAAAUUUUUUUAUUAAAAUUAAAUAAAAAAUUAUAUAUUCGAAUUGAUUUUUUAAAUGAAUUCGAUUCAAUUAAUAUUUCAGUUUCAACCCAAUACAGCUAACUCUUAUGAUAAACACUUAGAUGUUGUAAAUUAAUUUUAUAAAUUAAGAUAAAUACAUCUACAUUAUCUACCUACCAAGAGAUUUGUUUAGUAUUAAAAUUAAAAUUAGCCUUCGAUAAAAAUAUAUUAUUUAAAUAUAUUAAAAUUUUAAUUUAAUUUUUUAAACAUAAUUUAAUUAUACAAAUAUAAAAAAAUAUAUUUUCUUAUACUAUUUUAUUUCAACAACAUUUAAAAUAAUUUUUUUUCUAAAAUAGUACUUUUUGUUUUCAAUCUCAACGUUAAACACAUUCUAAGCCUUAAUAAAAUGGGAACUACUUGCAUGAUAAAUUUCUACUAUCAAAAUUUAUUGUAAAACAAUAAUUAAUCAAAUUUUCAACUGGAAAAAUUGUCACUGAUUUAUUAUUACUGAUUUCUUCAAUUAGAAAACGGGAUGGGGAUAUUUAAUUAUAUAUAUACAUAUAUAUAUAUAUAUAUAUAUAUAAAAGGAGCGAGGUGGGAAUAUGCCAACAUGACAUGGGUAGCAUAGGGUUUCCAUGAAACCAUAAAAAGCAAGAAAUCAUGUUAUAUAGACGUAAUGCCCCAAACCUUUGCAGAGGAAUUUGAAUCGGUGGUUAUUGUUACGAUCAUACGCCAUUGUUUUUCUUCAAAAGAAAAUCUCAACUAUCAUUUCUGCUUCUAAUCAUGGGUUCAGGUGCUGUGUUCACUCUUUUUUCUACCUGAACUAUGUCAUCAUCAGUGACCAGUUACUAGCUAGGGUUCUAAAAGGAAUUAUAAAUUCUUCUUAUUCUUCUUCUUUCCGUUGAAAAUUCAAUUAGAUUUUUAUUUGCAAUUCAGUUAAUAUUGAUAAUAGUGACAAUAGCAAUAACGGCAAUGUGCAGAUGCCGAUAUGGAGGAUUAUGGGUUCGAGUACUCGGACGAGGAGCCUGAGGAACAGGACGUUGACAUUGAGAACCAAUAUUAUAACUCUAAAGGUUUUUAAUUUUCAUUUUUCAUUUUCUAAGCAAAUUGUAGAAAUGGACUCUCUCCCUCUCCAUAUUUGGAAAAGUUCCUUGAUAUUGAAUUCUGCGUAUAAAUUAAUUCUUACAGUGGUGUAGAGUUCUUUGAUUUGAUUGUAUUUUGGAAAAACCUUCUUUAUUUUUUAGUAUUAGGUUAAUGUUGUAAAAAUUUUUGGUAACAGCUAGGAGUUAUUACCUAAACCAGUGUGCUGACUACGGAGCAAAUUUUAUGGGCUUUUCCUUUUUUAUUCAGUGGCAAUGCCUUGUACUCUGUAUUGUGGUUUCUUUUGAAGAUUAUUAAGGAAUUGGAUCUCAAGGAAUGGAUUUCUUUUUAUGUUAUCCUACUAAGAUUUAUUUUGAGGCAAAAAAAAUUUAUGGAAUGAUUUUACAUAUUAAAAGAAUCAGUUAGGGCGAAGAUGAAAUUUUGUUUUGUUACAAUUUCUUUUUUUUUUUCUAUGUAAAUGUGCUUUUCUCGUUUGAAUGCUUUCACAUUUCAUUAACUGGUUUCACUGAGGCAAUUUAUGGUCCAUUAUUUACAUCCUUGAUUAACAGUUUUCAGAUGACUAGCCAUUGGCUAUUAUGAAAUUCCUUAAAAUUUGUUGUUGGAAAAUCUAUUGCUCUAUGAUGUGCUCUAUAUGCAGAGAAGGUUGUAAUUUUUGUAUCAGGUUUGCUCAUUAUAAAUUUACUAAUUUAUUGUUUCUGUUCCCCCCUACAUUUCGUCUUCAUUGUAAAAAGGUCUGGUUGAAACAGACCCAGAAGGAGCACUUGCAGGUUUUGCUGAAGUUGUUAGUAUGGAACCAGAGAAGGCAGAGUGGUGAGUGCCAUAGAACUUCACAAUUCAAUUUCUGUUGUCCACUUUAUGUUUGAGAACUUGGUGUCCAUUUUGUCAAAAUUUGCCCUCUCUUGUAUGCAUUUUCCUGUUUUGGUACCUAAUCAAGUUGAAAUUAGGUCUGAAAAGGCCACAAGUCAAAGUUAUUUACAUUAGGUAAUUAUUAUGAUUAAGGAUUAAUAAGUUAGUGAGACUGAAGAUUGGGAGAUUAUUUGGUUACAUGUUGUAACUAUUAUCAAAAUAGGAUUUGAGAACGAAUUGUAUAAAUAGGAAUAGCAUUUUGACUGAUCACGGUCAAUUACCAAUUCAAUAAUACAACUAUCAAUUCCCUCUCAAACUCUUGUUCUCUCUCUCUGCCCACUCCCUUCUUUUCCUUCUCUUCUUGAAUCUUUUUCUUCUUUGGCUCUGUUUCUUCCUUCUGUCCCUCUUCCUUUUCAUUUCUGCAGUCUAUCUCGUGCAUUCAUAACAUUAACAUUAAAGCAUUCUUGGCUGAAUUUGAAGAAUGAUGAAUAUUAGUGCUGGCCAGAGAAAAUGCUGUUGGUCAACUAGGUUGUUUUGAAGGGUUUGAAAGAACAUCCUUGUUGCUUUUAACACUUACUUUUGUAUAAUCAGUGAGAACAGGAAACCAUGUAUACAGUCUUUCCUUGAAUUAAGAAAACAUAUAAUUUAUUUUUGUUGAUUGCAUCAACUUCCCCUUGUUGGCCAGACUAGACCUUGAGUUAUGGCUAGAAAAAUCUCAGAUCGGUAGAUUGCAUCCUUAUGAUUGCAUAUGUUUUUAUUCAGGAUAUUUGCCUUUGUUGAAUUUUUGGUUGCACCCUUCUUCCUUGGUUGGAGAAACAUAACCUCAAUUUCUAACAUGCAUAGGUAGAAAGAUCUCUCAUCUGUUCCAUUGGUUUUCUGUGUUCUGCUGCUAACGUAUUUCUGUAGUUUCAUAUAAUUUGCAAUCUAAAUGAUUACUUAACCUCCUUCAUAAAAAAUUCUUCUGUGCAUUCUUUGUGGAAGUUUAAUUAGUUGGAUUUUUCUUUCUUAUGUUAUUGUUGUGUUAAAUCAACCCAUGGGAAUGUGGGUAGUUGCUGCCAGUGAUCUUAAGAGGUGCACCCUGCACCUGUUUCAAGGCACAUGUGUAAGGCAUGCCUUAGAUGCCAUCCACCUUUUGCCUUCAGAGGCAGUGAGGCUUGUGCCUAGUGUGCCUCAGGCACACCUUUAGCAACACUAUGCAUUGACAUAAUGAUAAUUUGUUCUUCUAUUUUAGUAAUUUGCUGCAUUCCAAAAUUGACAUUUGAUAAAGCUAGUAGGGUUGGCUUGAAAGGUAGAUGCAUCAAAAGGAUUAAUUUGCUGUAUGAAACAUCUGAUGAAUUGGAGAGAUGUCAUUGUACAAUAUAUAUAUAUCACUCAUAUUAUUGUUAUUUCUGCAUUCGUAUGGCAAAAUGCUUUACUAUUGCAUAUCUAUUAUCCCACUGAUAUAGAAAUGUUUAUUCAUUUUAAACCUUUUUUUUACAAUCAGAUAAUUGUUUUCUUUCCAGGGGGUUCAAAGCAUUGAAACAAACUGUUAAGCUUUAUUAUCGCUUGGGAAAGUAUAAAGAAAUGAUGGAUGCUUACAGGGAGAUGCUUACAUACAUUAAGUCAGCAGUCACCCGCAACUACAGUGAGAAAUGUAUAAACAGCAUCAUGGACUUCGUUUCGGGAUCAGCUAGUCAGAAUUUUGGCCUCCUGCAAGAAUUUUAUCAAACCACCUUGAAGGCCCUGGAAGAAGCAAAGAAUGAGGUAAGGUAUGAUAAAUAUUUUAGAAUGCCAUUUAUGACAGGAUAUUUAUAUAUUGUUUCCUGUACAGAGACUUUGGUUCAAGACAAAUCUUAAGCUCUGCAAAAUAUGGUUUGAUAUGGGUGAAUAUGGCCGGAUGAGCAAGGUAUAUUAUUGUCAUAAUUACUGGAGCUUGCUAUUCUUAUAUCUGGAUUACAACUAUUUAUGAGAUCAAUGGUUGUAAAUGAUCAGAUUCUGAAAGAACUCCAUAAAUCUUGUCAACGAGAAGAUGGUACAGAUGACCAAAAGAAAGGCAGUCAGCUUCUGGAGGUAUAUGCAAUUGAGAUUCAAAUGUACACUGAGACCAAGAACAACAAAAAGCUUAAGGUAGAGACUUUUUCCUGUUCCCUUGGUGCUCUCACUUUAUAUUGAGACCUUGUUAUUGGUGUUUCCUCAUCUUCAGUACAAUUUAUUUCCAGAAAAGAAUGAAAAAAAAAAAGGAAAAUCUUUGUGAUUAAACUAUGUAUUAUGGUGUUAAGUGAUUCACCAAAUGCAUUAGUCCAGCUGUGUGAAAUGAUGUCCUGUCAUUUAACAAUUAGACUAUAUUAUCAGCUGCAAACUUGAUAAGAAGCUGAAGAUCAUGUUUUCCAUAUCAAACUACAAGUAGUUCUUCUUAUGAAAUGUCAAUAUAUAAGAGCAUCAAGGGGCUGAGGGAGAGGGAAUCAAGUAAACUAGAAAAAAAUAUAUAAAAGCAAUUCUCAAGCUAUUGGAUUACACAGAUUAGGCAGGACUUUCUAUUGUGGAAGUUGCAGAUGAGUUGGUAGCUAUUUGAUUAAUUUGUUUGUCUUGUUGGCAAAAUUGUUAACUCUGUUAUGUCCAAGAAGAGGGAACGGGAUAAAUGCUCUGCUUAAGAACACACAGCCACUGAGCUUUUAACAUGUACAUGCUUUGUUUUUGCGUCUCUUUGUUAAUGUCAUUGGAGUUUGAUCUCCUGUAUGUGUUCCAUCUGGACUAACAUGCAAAAUGCAUUGAUCAUUGCUUACUGGAAAUAGAAGUGGGGUUUGAGUUGUAAUAAAUUGGCUGUUUGUUCCUGAGAUCUUUGUGAGAGUUCAGUUCUUGGUGGUUCCAUCAUGAUUUUCAUGAUAGUUGGAGGCUUGAAUUCUUUUGCGCUUUUCUACAUUGUAAAAUAUGAUGUUUCUUUCUGUUUUGCCUUUAUUAGCAAUUAUACCAAAAGGCACUUGCAAUCAAGUCAGCAAUUCCACAUCCAAGGAUAAUGGGGAUAAUUCGAGAAUGUGGUGGGAAGAUGCAUAUGGCAGAGCGUCAAUGGGAUGAGGCAGCGACAGAUUUCUUUGAAGCUUUUAAGAAUUACGAUGAAGCUGGGAACCAAAGACGCAUACAAUGCCUAAAGUAUGUUCUUUAUGUCUCCUUAUCUUGUUUUCUCUUUAAUCUUUUGUUUGCAUGAAAAGUGCAGGAGAUAAUGCCAAGUCGUCAAGCAAAAACAAGAUCUGAACUUUGAAAGUAAAAAAAUUUUAACAUGACUGGUUCCAACAGAAAAAAUAUCUAUAGAGCAAGUGUUAGAGAAACUAGGAGGGAAAAUUAUUUCUCAUUUUCAUAAUUAAUGUAUAUUUGAUACUUAUGGACACAUUUAGUGUGGUGGCGAAGAAAUCAACGUGUUAAUAGUUUGAUUAGGGUAAAGAGAAAAACUUGACCUCCAUUGAGAAGAAAAUGUAGUUGUCAAAUUAUGCAGCAUAAUAAGCUCUCUCUCUCUUUACGAACCACAGCUACAUUUGCAUGCAAGUUAUUAUUCAGCCCACUUAUGCUUUUUUGGUGCAUAUAUGAAAAAUAUGCAAGGUUGAGAAUAAGUACUGCAGUUACAGAUUGGCAGAACUUCAACUCAUCCAUGAUUGUAUCUUCUUGUGCACAAGCUAAAACUAAUUCAAAACAGUUGGACAGUGCUACAAAGUAAUUGGACUUUAAAUUGAAGAAAUUUAAUUUUAUAUGCUUCACAAAGAAGGUACAUGAUUGAUUACAUAUUUUCUUUUCGCGAUGCUGUAUCUUGUUUUUGCACUGCAUUAAUGGUACAUCAACAAUAUGAUUUCUUCCUUGCUGAGAGCUUCCAAUACACUGUUAUAGGAUCACCUAACUGUGUUAAGCGUCAUGGCUGACAGAUACCUGGUACUGGCUAAUAUGCUGAUGGAAUCUGAAGUGAAUCCAUUUGAUGGUCAAGAGGCAAAGCCGUAAGUGGUUUUAUAUAUCACUUUGAUAUAUGCUUCUCUUUCUAUUGUUUGCGCCAUUCUUAUGACGAUAUACUGUUCAGAUAUAAAAAUGAUCCUGAGAUUUUGGCCAUGACAAACCUCAUAGCAGCAUAUCAAAGGAAUGAAAUAUUGGAAUUUGAGAAAAUCCUCAAGGUUAAUGUACUUUGAUUGAAUUAUGUUUAUAGUUUGUUAGUUGUUAUGCCUGUGUUUAAGUUGGCCGUUGAAUUUUCUCAGAGUAACAGAAGGACAAUAAUGGAUGAUCCAUUCAUACGGAAUUAUAUUGAAGAUCUAUUGAAAAAUGUCCGAACUCAAGUGCUGCUCAAGCUUAUUAAACCUUAUACAAGAAUUCGGAUUCCUUUCAUAUCCAAGGUAAUGCCUUUUCUUUCUUACCCCAUCAAGUCUUUAAAGACUGAAGCACAAUUUACUACCCUGCUGCUGCACACUUUUCAGAUUUGGACCUAUGUUUCUUUUUGUGACAAUGGGUGCUCUGUAAUUGCCACCGUUAGCAAAAUUGGGACAAAUCAUAAAUAUAGUUGGAUUUUUGCUAAAUGGCAUUUUUAUGGAAAAACUUGCCUAGACCUGGUUCAUCUAGAGCCAAGACACAAUAAUAUUAUGGAUCCUACAUAAAAAUCCAAUGGAACCCAUUUAUUUAUAUCUUGGAUCCACCACAGGCCCAGUCUAGGUAAGAAUUACUCGUUUUUAUUAUUCAUGAAUUUGUUUUGUAAAGAAGUGGGUCCCAUGUGCCAAAAAGAAAAGGUAAAACAAUUCAGAGCUGUGCACCUCCCUCGCCCACCCUCCUCUUGUCUCUCACUUCUGCCUCCUCCAUCCCCCAUUCCCCCUUCCCCCCCUUUUUUCUCCAUCAAAACCUUGUAAUCACAAAGCUGAGUUUCGUCAUCAAACACCUGGAGAUCACAAUAACAGCAGCAUUAAGAACAAUUGUCUAGUUCUUCUGACUUUCCUGAUGAGUGUGACCUAUAGUGUCACAUAGGCAGAUUAUCCCUGAGAAAUUUUCUCUUUGUAGAUAGGUUAUCGCAUGACAUUGGUGCUUUAUUAUUUGUUAAAAUUCAUUCAAGAAGUGGAAUCUUUGAUUUUCUUUAACUGGGAUCAAAUCAUCUAUUAGAAGAAGUAAAUGGACCUGUUUGAUUAAAUUCAAUUCCUUGCGAUGUCUUUCUUUGAUGAUGUAGACUGCUCCAAUAAAUUGUGUAUGUUGCUCAUGGCCAAGCUAAGCUUUAUCCCAUCUCCUAUAUUACGCCAUUUGAGAAUCGAUUCAAUUAGUGGAAUUUGAGAAGGCCCAAAAAAACCUCUAAAAGAAAUUAUUCUGAGAAGCAGUUGUUUUAACCACUUGUUUUUUUAAAUUUGUAUUUUUUUUUUCAGUGGUCUUAGUACGCCCUUUUCACGUGUACUUUCUUUUAAACUAAAAAUCUGCCAUGUCAGCAUCAUAUACAAAAUGUGCUGAACCUGCUCAUAACAUUAAGCAGAGUUCCGUUUUGUCAUGAGAAAAGCCACAUGCUUCAAAAUUGCACUUUGCAUUUCUUUUAAAACCAUUAUCUUCUUCACUUUUAUUACAAGGAUCUUAUAAAGUGGAGUGAUAUUUUGUGAACUUGCUUUAAGGAACUCAAUGUACCAGAAAAAGAUGUUGAGCAGCUGUUGGUUUCACUAAUAUUGGAUAAUCGUAUUGAUGGACAUAUUGAUCAAGUGAACAGGCUAUUAGAGCGUGGAGACAGGUACAUGCCUAAUUUACUUGUCUGUUCCAGUUCUCUGAUUAGUUGGGAGUUAAUGUGAUGUUCAUCAGUUCAUGUGCUGCAGCCAUCAUUAUUGUCAUUUUUGUAAAAUGUCGUGCAGGUCAAAGGGAAUGAAGAAGUAUACUGCCAUCGAGAAAUGGAACACACAACUUAGGUCACUUCAUCAAACUAUCAGCAACCGUGUAUACUGAGAAUGUGUCAGUAGGUAGUAUGAUUUCCAUCUGGGGAAGGUCCUCGCCUUUUCUUAAUAUUUUGGUGGCACUAACAACUGAACUUUUGCUCGUGUGAGACCACAUUAUCUUAGAAGAUACUUCUAUAAGUAGUCAUUUAGAUAAAGGAGCGUGUUUUAUAGCUGAUGCAUCUUGAAGAAAAUGUGGGUAGAGAAUGUGAAAUCGAAAGUAUACUCGUAAUUUUGAUGCUGAGAAAAAUCCUAGUCAUAUAUGGAACAAUCAGACAGCAUGCACGCAUUGAAUAUACCAUUUUGUUGGUUUGUUUGAUCUAUAUUGAUUUGUCUCCCAUUCUGCUGUGCAUCAGAGGCUAGCAAAAGAAGUGUAAGUCUGGCGUUUUUAGAAUCCAUGAUACAUGUAUAUAUUAUGAAACUGCUGGGUUGAAACCCAGGUGGAGAUGCUGGGUUAAAUCUUGGUUUCAUUUAGUUCAUCGAGUUGCGUGAAUAGGACGACAACUACUCUUAGUUGCCAGGUUAAUUUGAUUUCACGCAGUUUAAACUUUCUAUUAAAUUUCUGAAUAUGGAAUAGCAAUUUUCGAAAUGUUUUGGGAGCUAUUUGAUUUCUGGUCUACUCCAUCAUGUGAAUCAGACAAUCAAUACCAUAAAGCAGAUUUUUUUUUUUUCACAAACGUUUCAGGUGACGGUGGAGGACAGCCGCAUUGGGGCUCGUUCACUUGAUUUGGCUAAAAUAGAUCGUCAUAUUCUUUUACACCGUUUACUGGUUUGACAAGUUUGUCGUUUGGUUGGUAAGCACCGAAUCUCAAUUGUUUUAAUUAAAUAAUCAUAAACAAAUAAUUAUGUAAAAUUUUGAUUGAUUCAAUUAAUGAUAAAAUUGAACUAUUUUAAAAAAUAAUUUUAAAAGAGAAUGUUAUUUUCUAAAUUUUGAAACUUGUAUUAAUAUUAAUGCUCUUUUUAUAUAAAAAUUUUAUUAAUUUUACCUUUUAUUUUCUAAAGUUUCAAUUACAAGUACAAUAUAAGUGUUUUUUUCAAAAAAUAUAUUUUUUGAAAAGCAAUUUUUCACAUACAAAUUUUUUAUAUGGAAAAAACAAAGCCUAAGACUCCUUUAUUUUAUGAAAACUGUUUUUUUUUUUUUUUCACAUUUUUCUAGUAUUUUGACAUUCAAAAUUAUUUAAUGAAAAAUAUAUCUUAAUUAAAAAUUUUUUAAAAAAUAAUAAUUUUCUUUUUAAGAUGCACAAAAGUCAUUUUUAAAAAAAAAAUUGAUUUAUUAACAACAUUAAACGUUUUAUAUAUGAAUCUUGUUAACAUCGUUUGUUUUUAACAUUGUAAUUAAAUAAUAAAAUAUAAAUUACCUUUUCAAAUGAUUUUUUAAGAAAAUAUUUUUAUAUAUAAAUUAUUUUUCAUAAAACAAAUAAAAUUUAAAUCAAAUAUUCAUAAUAAAUUCAAAGGGUAAAUUAUUCAAAUCUCUCUGCAUUUAGUGAUUUGUUUCAAUGGAGGUUUGGGGUUUUAUAAAAUUUCAUAGCCACCAUUUUUUGCUUGGAGGAGAUUUUACUUAGGUAUGGUUUUUGAGGAAUUCUCAAAAUAUGAAAUGUCUCAACCCGUCAAAAUAAUGAAUUGAGAAUGUUUUAUCUUUAAUAUUUUUUUAUUUAUAAAAAAUUAUGCCUAUUUUAAAAAUAUUAGAAUUAAUAUUAUAUUUCCAUUAAUUUUAUUUUGAUCUCUCUUACUUCUUCAUAUGAAACUCUCCCAAAUAAUUUGACAACAAUUGAAAAAUGUACCUACAAAAUUAUGAUGAUCAUAAAUUUGAGUAGUAAAAGAGAUUGUAAAAAAAUUAUAUUUGCAUUACUACUUUUUGGAAAUUAAAUAAAUUAAUUAUAAUUAAAUUUAAUAUUUUUUAUAUUUUAUUAUUUAACCACUAUCGAAAUAAUUAUUAAUAAUUAAAAUAAUUAACCAUUAAAAAGUUAAUAUUAUCAAUAAAGCAAAAAAAUACUUAUUUUAAUUUUUAACUAAUCACUAUUAAAAUAAUUAAUAUUAUCAUGUAUUAUUUCAACAUUCGUUAAAAAUGUUAUAUAAUAUAAUUUUCACUGGAGUGGUAUAAUAAUAGAAGAUCUUGUUAUGUUCAAUUAUUUAUCGAUUUUAUAUGAUGAUAAAUCAUUUGAUACUAUGUUCUUUGAAUUCACUCACUUCUCUUGCCUAUUGUUGAAAAAAAUGAUUUUUUUUUAUUUUGGUUUUCCUUGCAAGAAAAUAAAAUAAAAUAAAAUAAAAAUAAUUAAAGGGUGAAAGCUAAGCAAUCGGCCCACCUGGGGCAGUGUGAUGAUCGAGUUAGAUUGUUAUCUUAGGGCUGACAGGGGUUAGAAAUUGGAAAGUUUAUAUAUAUAGGUUUAAUUGUGACGUCUCACUCUUGUUUCCACAAUAAUUAUAAUAUCUCACUUUAACAUUAUUAUAAAAAAAAUUUAAAUUAAUUUAUUAUUUAAUUAAUUCAGAUUAUUUAAUCGUUGAAGCUAUUUAUAUAGUUCCCUCAUUAACUGAAUGUGUUUGGCGUAUGAAUGCAGUGAGAUUAGAGUAGGAGACACAUUGGGCAUUGAAUCAACAUGAUUCACAAGAAAUAUAUAAAAUUAAAAAGAAAAACACAUGGAAUUGUGAUUAUUUAAUUUAAAUAUGAGAGUUGAUGCUAAUCAAAUUAGAUUUGAGUUGAAAAGAUGACACAUUACAAGACUUGAGGUUGUAUCCAACAACACAACUUGUCUUGUCAUUAUUAAUUGUCUGUUCAAAUUUCAAUAUUUUUUUAUCCUUGCGACGUGGCAAUUUCAGAAGCACAUCUUUUAACUUUCAUUUUCUCUUUUUUUGUUUUCUAAAAAAAAAAAACACAAACAAACGUACCCAUGUGACCCUAUUUAAAAAAAAAAAACAUUAAUUGUUUGGUGUUUUUUUUUUUUUUGAAAUGGGGAUGGGGAAUUCGAACCUGAAAUUUAUCAGGUUUAACCGGAUGCACUUACCAUCAGACUAAGCUUGAGAGUGCAAUUAUUUGAUACUUUUAUUUUGAAAUACACAUUAAUAUUUUUUUAUUCCGUUUCCUCUUCGAUUAUUUUAGGUUCUAACUAUUUAAUUUAUUGUUGUUAAAAUAUAUAUAUUAUUUUAUUUUUCUUUGAUUAAUGGGAUGCUACUAUCUUGUCUCAAAACUUUGAGCCAGCAGAUGUUGAGAAAAUUAGAGUCAUUCCUCUCAGUAUUUUUGCUCAGGAAGAUAGGUUGAUAUGGCACUUUGAGAAAAGCGACAUUUAUUCAGUCAGGUCUGGUUAUUAGAAAGCUAAAGAUUUGAGUAGACGGGCAGCUAUAGAACCUAAUGGUAAUUCGAGUCCAAGUUCCUCAGCUCACAAUUCUUACUUCUGGAAGUCUCUUUGGAAGACUAAUGUUCCAAGUAAACUUCGGAUUUUCCUAUGGCUUUUUUGCUUGGAGCGGCUACCUUGUAAAGACCUCCUUCAUCAUCGGAUCCAACAUAUAGACCCGGCCUGUUCUCAUUGCGGAGGAAAGGAAUCCAUUGAUCACAUUUUUUUCUCAUGCCCUCAUGCUAUCUCAGUUUGGUUUAAUUCUCCAUUGCAACUUCGUUCUUCUUAUCUUUUGAGCUCAACAAUGAUGGACAAAUGGACAGAAGUUUGUAAUGCUCUUUCUCAGGAAUCCGACUCAGAUAGUCUAAUACAACUUUUUGCCUUCCUUCUUUGGCAAAUAUGGAAAGAUAGGAAUGCUUUCACAUUCAAUAAUAUGUCUAAACCGGCUGAAGAGUCUGUUAGCUUAGCAAUUAGAAGUCGAGAUGAUUUUAGAGAAGCCACCUCCAACCAUCCUCUCCCCUCGCAUCAAUCAGAAAUGGAUCAACAGCUGUUAAUUCAUCAAUCUCAACUCUCUUGGCAACCCCCUCCUCUCGGUUUCGUAAAGCUUAACUUCGAUGCAGCUUGGGACAAGAAUUCGAAUUCAGGAGCCACUGCAAUUAUUGUUCGUGAUCCUUUUGGAAGUGUUAUUGACUGGUGCUGUCGUUCGUGGGUCUCUAUCUCAGACCCCUUACAAUUAGAGAGUAUUGCUUGUCGAGAAGCACUUCUUUUUGUCAAAAGUAGAGGAUUCUCUCACUCUAUUAUAGAAGGAGAUUCUCUUAUCACAGUUCAAGCCUGUAGGGGUAACCCAGCUCCCCUUAAUAUUCAAGAUAUUAUCUCUGACUCGUUAGAUAUCGCUAAAUCCUUUCAGUCUAUCUCUUUUUCUUGGGUACGUCGGACUCACAAUCAGGUUUCACAUCUCCUUUGUAAAAAGUUCAUCAGAGAUAGUUCGUUCAGAGUAAAUCCCUUGUAUUAGAUGAACUUUGUUUUCUCCUUGCCACUUGAUGGCUUUUAGCAAUGAACUAUAUCUUAUGAAAAAAAAAAAUGUAAAAACAAUGAAAAAUUAAAUUGUUAAAAUUUUGACAUAGUUUGAAUUCAAUUAAAUUUAUUUACUGCUAAAUUAAAAUUGGAAGUAUAGUUUCUUGAUAAAAACAUUAAAAUAAAAAUAAAAUAAUGAAGAAUAUGAAAAGUAAGAGAGAAAUGGAAAGAAAUUAAAGAAGACACCAAUUAUAAAAGGGAUGUUAUGUGAAAAAUUGAUGGAGUAGAACAAUGAUUUGGUCUUUAAGGGUGGGGAAUAUUGUAUGCUUUGUUUUAAUGGCCAAAGCCUCCAACAAACUGCCCACAUGCUGUUGCUGCUUCCUAGUUGCUACCUUCUCUCUUUAACAACCUUCUAUUUUCAUUUUGUUUCUGUGUCUAUCAAUCAUAUAUUUAUGGCUUUAUUUAAUUUAAAUAUGUUACUUUUUAGAAGUUACUCUGAAUUUAACUUAAUUAAAUUUGAUAAAUAAAUUAAUUUACUUUUUAUUAAAAAAAUAUCAAUCAAAUAAAAAUAAUUUUUAAUUAAAUUAUUCCGAUUAAAUAAGAUUUAUAUUUACAUGUUAAUGAAUAAAUAUUUUAUAAUAAGUAAAUGAAAAUAUUCAAAGUCAAAAUUUCUUUUAACGUUUUAAACUAUUUAAUUAGCUGUAAAGUGAAAAACUUGGGAUAAGAAGAAAUUGUCAAAAACUGAAAAGGCAUCCAAUAUAAGUUAUUAUUAAUUAAUAGAUGAUUAUUGAGCACAGUGCAUCAAAGUUUUAAAUCAAUCAACGUUUUGAAAAGACAAUAAAAUUACUUUUUAAAUUAAUUUAAUUUUAGUGGGGUAGGGGAGAGAGAUUCCAGCCCCAUCACUUCCAUCUUUCUCAUCAAUUUUUGCAAAAUUAGUCCUUACUUAUACAAGUUCUUAAAUAUAUUUUUUUUCAAUUCAAUUCAAUAAAUUUUUUUAAAAUAAAUUAAAUAUAUCACAAGGAACAUAUAUACGCUUUAGAUUUUAAAAUUAUUAACAUAUAAUUUAAUUUAUUAGAUACACUGGAUAAUAAUUCAUUUUUCUUAAUAAAAAAUUAGAGAUAUAAAUAAAUAAGUGAUAUAUUUUUAAUCAUUAAAUUAAAUCAAAUACGUAGUAAGAAGUAAUAAGUUUACCUUUUGACAUUUGUGCAUUUGUGAUUAUUGGCGUUCAUGUUCUUUGAAUAAUUCACUUAUUUGUUAUAUAGGUUUGCGAUUAUUAAUGAUAUUGAGAGCUCUUCCAUUUUCAAUAAACUUCAAAUUAAAUAUAUGAAAAAAACAAACUCAAAUUUAAAAUUUCUCUUGUUUUUCAUGCUUUAAUAGAAGAAAAAAAAAUCAAAUUACUCAUUAAUUAGUUUAGAAUUAUAAUUUAUUGAAAAAUUCACAUAUUAUGUAUCUAAAAAUAAUUUUUUUAAUGCAAAAUUACUCAUUAUAUUAAUAAAAAAAUAUUAUUUUAAAUAGAAAAAUGAUCAUAUCUAAUAAAUUAUGUCUAAUAUUUGUCACUAAUUAUUUUUUAUUUUUUUAAAAUAAAUUUUAGAAUGAAUUUUUUUUUAACUUAAAUAGAAUAAAAUAUAAGUGUUUAAAUAUUUAAAUUUAAAAAUAAAAAGAUGAAUUUAUUAAUUAUAUAAAAUUUAAAAAUUAAAACAUAAUUUAUUUUAAAUAAAAUGAAAAAUUUAUGAUUUCAAUUAUUUACAUAAACAAAUACAUCACAAUUAAAACAUAUAUUUUAUUUUUAUUUUUAUUUUUAUUUUUAUUUAUCGCCAGUUCAAACAAAGGAAACAAAAAGUAAUUUUUAAUUUGUGAUGUAUAAGAGAAUCGGAGGAAAAGAAAGUUGAAAACGAUUAGGACCUACGAUCUACCUUAUCUUUAAUUUAGAAAAUAAAUAAUAAAAAUUGGUGACAAUAUAAUUUUAUCAUUAAAAAUGUGUGAUAUUAAAAUUUAAAUAUGAAAAAUAAAUAACAAUAAUAAUAAUAAAUAAAUAAUUAUUGUGCUUUAACUCAUUAAUACUAAAAUUAUUUUAAAAUUUUAAAAAUUUUAGAUUUUAAAUAAAGUGAGAGCUAAUUCUAUUUAAAAAAAUAACAAUAUUAAUAUGCGUAUAUUCAAUUUAUUUAUUAAAAAAAUAUUAAAUAAAAAAAUUAAAUAUACAGUAAUUUAUAUUUAUAUUUAUAUUCAACACUUUAAAUUUUCUACAAUAAAGUUAAACUUUUUAAUUUCUCAAUUGAAUUAAAUUAAAUUUAUAUAAAUUAAUAGUAAAUUAUGAUAUAAUUUUUAAAAAUUUAUAUUAUUAAUAAAAUAUAUAAUUUUUUAAUUUAAAAUUUAUAUUAAAAUUAAAUAUAUUUUUUAUUUAUUUUAUAUAAUAUUAAUUAUAGUAUAUUAAAUAAAUAUUUAUUACAAAUAAAUUUCUAUUAUAUAAAGCAUUAUAUAUCGAUAAUAUAUAUUAAAGUAUUUUAAUGAAUAUUUAUAUUCAAUAUUAUAAAUUAUAUAUUUUUAUAUUUAAAAAUUUUUAUUUUCUAUUAAUAAUAUUCUAAAUGAAACAAAAUAUUACAUAUUUUAAAUUGUGAAUUUUUUUUUUAAUAUUUGAAAUUUUUAUUAAUAUCUCUAAUAAUAUUAUAAAAAAUGAAUAAUGAGAUUAAUAAAAAAUAUUGUUAUUGUAAUAAAAAUAUGUAUUUAAAAAUUAUUUUAUUAUUUAAAUAGAAUUUUGAAAAGUAUAUUAUAAUUUACUUUUAACUUAUAUAAAUUUAAUUAGACAUUUUAGCUAUAAUUAUAGUAAAUUAAUUUUUUUAAAUUUAAAAUAUUAAAUAUAAAUAUGAAUUAUCAUAAAUAUUUAGAUUUUUUUCAAUUAUUCUAAAAAAUUUAUUACCAAAAUAAAUUAAAAUCAAUAAAAAUUAAAUCAAAAUUUUAAAUUAAUUUAUUAAUUUGAUUUUUAAAUUAAUUUAUUAAUUUAAUUUUUAAAUUAAUUUAAUUCAAACAAUUUAUUUAGAUUUAAAUGAAUAUUGUAAACUCGUAAUCACAUGGAAUUGUACAUUUACUGUCACGUGUUCAAAGAAUAAGUGGUUUCAAGUUUCCACUAUUUUUCGGAAAACAAAUCUUCAAUAAAAUAACUUGUUUUUAUUAUUUAUUUUUAAGUUAAAAAAUAAAUUAUAUUAAUAAAUUUAUAUAUAGAAAUUUUAAAAAUAUAAAAAAAUAAUUUUGUUUUUAAAAAUAAAAAAUAUUUUUCCUUUGAAAAAUGAUCACCUGAGUCAGUAGCCAACCCAGAAUUUUAAUGCAAAGGGAGCAAAUUUUGAUAUUCUGUCUAUUUUAUAAUUAUAAAUUUAUUUUAAUUUACUUACUAUUACUUCUUUGAAAAAUGAUCACAUGUAUGAAGAUUGGCUUUUUAAAUAGUUUAUUGAUAAUAUUAUUUUGAUAAAUUUUAAAUUUUAUAAUUGAGUUAGAAUAAGAAAAAUAAAAUCGCAAUAGAAUUUUAGUUUGAAAUGAAUUUUUAAAAUUUAUUUAGUUUGUACUGAAUCAUUAAGAGACCCAUUCAAAUUUAUUGGAUUUUUUAUGGCUCUUAUAUUAAUAUCAUUAGUCUCCAUCUGCUCAUAAAUUUUUAGAUUCAUAAUUUUUUUUACAUCGUGUUAUUAUAUUAAUUUUAAAAAAUACUAAAGGAUGAUUUUCCUAUUUUUCUUACUCAUUUUUAAUAUAAAGGGACUAGUAGAAUUCACUGUCACGACCAACCUUCAAGUCAUCUUAUUUUUAUAUUUUCUCUUAUUUUUUAUCCUUCCUUAUUAAAGGCAUUUUAUUUAUUUUUAAGUGGGCGGCUCUCCUACUUUCCUUACUCAAUUUUAUUUAUAUAAAAGGACUUAUAAAGUUCAUUUAUCCCACACCAUUUUUCAAGUUAUCUUAUUUUUAUAUUUUCUUUUAUUUUUUUAUCCAACUAUGUUAAAAACAUUUUAUUUAUUUUAAAAUAACACGCUCUAACACGUUCAUACUAAAAUUAUUUUAAAAUUUAAAAAUUUUUCAUUUUUCAUUUUUGAUAUAAAGGGACUCGUAGAGUUCAUUUAUCCCGACCAACCUUCAAGUCAUAUUAUUUUUAUAUUUUCUCUUAUUUUUUAUCCAUCCUAGCUAAAGGCAUUUUCUUUAUUUUUAAGUGGUGGCUCUCCUACUUUCCUUACUCAAUUUUUUUAUAUAAAAUGACUUAUGAAAUUCAUUUAUCCCACACCAACUUUCAAAUCAUUUUAUUUUUGUAUUCUUUUUUUAUUUUUUUUAUCCAACUAUACUAAAGACAUUUUAUUUAUUUUAAAAUAACUGUGCUCUAACGCGUUCGUACUAAAAUUAUUUCAAAAUUUAAAAAAUUUUUUAUUUUUUAUUUUUAAUAUAAAGGAAUUCGUAGAAUUAAUUUAUCCCACCAACCUUAAGUCAUCUUAUUUUUAUAUUUUCUCUUUUUUUUUUACUCUUUCUUACUAAAAGCAUUUUAUUUAUUUUUAAGUAGGUGGCUCUCCUACUUUCCUUACUCAAUUUUUUUUUAUAUAAAAGAACUUAUGAAAUUCAUUUAUCCCGCACCAACUUUCAAGUCAUCUUAUUUUUAUAUUUUCUUUUAUUUUUUUAUCCAACUAUGCUAAAGACAAUUUAUUUAUUUUAAAAUAACGUGCUCUAACACGUUCGUACUAAAAUUAUUUUAAAAUUUAAAAAAUUUUCGAUUUUAAACAUAAUGAGAGCUAAUCAUAUUAAAAAAUUGAAAGAUUUAUAAUUUAAUUCCUGAGUAUUGUCAUUAUUAACAAGUCAGUUCUUAUAUUUUUAAAAACCUAUUAGAACAUCCUUAUGUUUUCUUUCCGUCAACGAAAUAGUCUUUCCAUCCUCUUUUCCGUUAAAAUUAGAUAAAGGAGGAGAGAGAAAAAUUUUAAAAUCCAAUUUUACCCUCAAAUAAAAUCAUUUAUUUAAUCAUUGGAUAUUGUUAUUAUUAACAAGUUAGUCCUUACAUUUUCAAAAAUCUAUUAAAACGUUUUUAUCUUUUUCCAUAUCUAUUAAAACGUACUUAUCAUUUUUUUUCGUUAAUAAAAUAGUCUCUAUCUUUUCUCAUAUCUAUUAAAACGUCCUUAUCAUUUCUUUCCAUCAACAAAAUAGUCCUUUCUCAUCGUUUCUUUUCGUCAACGAAAUUACCCCUCCCUAUAUUUUUAGAAAUCUAUUAAAACGUCCUUAUCGUUUCUGUUUGUCAACAAAAUAGUCCCUAUCUUUUAUCACAUCUAUUAAAAUGUCCUUAUCGUUUCUUUUUGUCAACGAAAUAGUCCCUAUCUUUUUUUUCCUCCUCCUCCUUCGACUCCUCCGAAAAAGAAGGAGAAGAAGAAGAAGAGAAAGAAGAAAAAGAAGAAGAAGAGAAAGAAGAAAAAGAAGAAGAAGAAGAAGGAGAAGGAGGAGAAGAAGAAUAAGAUAAAUAAGAGAAAGAAGAAAAAAAAGAAGAACAAGAAGAAGAAGAAGAAGAAGGAGAAGAAGGAGAAGAAGAAGAAGAGAAAGAAGAAAAAGAAGAAAAAGAAGCAAAAGAAGAAGAAGAAGGAGAAGAAGGAGAAGAAGAAGAAGAGAAAGAAGAAAAAGAAGAAAAAGAAGCAAAAGAAGAAGAAGAAGAAGAAGAAGGAGGAGGAGAAGCAGAAGGAGAAGCAGAAGCAUAAUAAGGAGGAAGAAUUGAUAAAGAAUAAAAGGAAGGAGGAGAAGGAAGAGGAGGAGGAGAAAAAUAAUGGGGUAAUUUAGUCUUUUUACUAUAUUUUUAACGAUAAAAAUAGACGGAAAGACUAUUUUGUUGACGGAAAAAAAAGAUAAAGACGUUUUAAUAGAUUUCUAAAAAUAUAUGGACUGACUUGUUAAUAAUAACGCAAUAGUCAUAGAUUAAAUUAUAAAUCUCCUUUAAAAAUAAUAACAAUACUUAUAUGCAUAUAUUUAAUUUACCACUGUCCAUUCGAAAAUUUUCCUAUGAAUCGACAAAUGCUUCUAUUAUAUUUUAAUAACUGUCCUUGCUAAAUUUUAUUAAUAAAAAAAAAAAUCAUCUUAUUUACAUGUGAAUAGUUAUUUAUGAAUUUAUCAACUUGCAAUAAUUCUGAUAUUUGUUUAUAGGCAAAAUAAAUCUAUUGAUUAUAAAUACAUUACACAUAUUUAAUUAUUAUUUUUGUCGUAAGUUCAAAAUACAAAUAAUUUAAAAAUAUAAUAAUUAUUUUAGAGAAUUAAUUUAUUAAAUAAUUAAUAUUUAUUGGUCAUCAACCAUUAAUUAUAACUAUAAAUUAUCUCCCAAAAUGAAAUAAAAUGAUGCAAAUUUUUUAUUCUUUAAUUAUAAUUAUUGAGUUCUUAUUUUGAAUAUAAAAUAUUUUUAAAAUUAAAAAUAAUAUAUUUUAUUUUUAUAAUAAAUGUAUUUAAUAUGAUUUAAAAUAAUCAAAUUAAUAAAUUUUAGAUAUUAAAUAGUUAAGAGAGAGAAAUUGGACAACAUUUUGCACCCACGAGAAACACGGGCCCUAUUUCAUAUUAAUCAAAUACUAUAUUUCACGUCUCACUUCCUUCCUUCUAUAUUUACUUAGAACUAAUCAAUUGCUUAAGGAAAACUCAAUAACAUUUUUUUAAAUAAUAAAACAUAAUUUUUAUUUUCUUUUACCGAAAUUACUUAUUUAAAUAUUUUGUCAAUAUAAUAAUAUUUUUAAAUUGAACUAAUUAUUAUUAUGCUCUGUAUAAAUAAUUUUUUUUUUCAUACUUAAUUUUUAUCAAUCCAACCAUGGACAAAGUAUAAACAAUUUUUUUCCAUAUAUUUAUUUUUGAAUUAGUUAAAAAAUUAUUCUGAUAUUUUUAUCGUUUUUACCAUAUCCUACACAUGGGUAUUGUCAGAGAAAAUCUGUAAUCUAAAUAAUCUAUUAGAUAAGAAAAAUAUGGUGUUGUCAGCUUCUUGUCUUUUCAUUUGGAAUGGGAAAAUUUGAGAGGCAAAGGCAGAUGGUAUAAUAUUUUCCAUGGAACCAAACACAUGGGAGAAAAAGGGUGUGAGGAAGACUUGUAGUAAAUGGAGAAGCAUAGCAGUAGAAACGGUGAUAAGCAGGAAAAGAUUUGUCAGGUAGCAGUGGAAGAAAGAGGAGACAGGAGGCUGUGAUACAAUUUGCUUUUUGCAUAUAUACAUAUAAAAAUACAAUAUAUAUGACUUGUGUUUACCAAAAUCUAAGUCUGGCUCUUCGCAAACUCAAUAGCCAUAGCCCCAAAAAAAUCAAUCACCAGCUGCUCUUCUUAUCUCAUCGCACCAACCAUCACCUUCUCAAAGUAUACUUCUUCUCUCCCUAUCUUUCUCUCUCUUUCUUUUCUACACGAGUUGUUUAAUCCUCAAGAUUUUCUAUUAGUGAAUUCAAUAAUUAUCCAUUCAAAAGUUUGUAUUUUCACUUGUGGAAUUUGCUUUGAACUUCGUCUUUGGCUGUUUUGCUGAUUCUUUUGCCUUUGCCUUUUCUUUCUUCGCUGCUGCUUCUCCUUCCUCUUAAACUCUCUUCUGUGCUUUUGUUAUUCUGUUUUUGUGAAAGCUUUUCUUGGUUAGUUCUUCUAAAAUUUGAUCUGGGUUUUUGUUUACCUUGAAGAAAAAUUCUGAUUUCUGCCAUGUUCUUCUGAAAAAUUCUGUAGCUCAUUUCCCUUUUUUAUCUUCUUCUUUGUGGGAGUAGUAAUGGAUUUUGAGAAAGAGAUUCUUUUUAGCUCUGUAUUAAAUUCAGUCUUAAUUUGUAUUAUUGUUAACUAUAAAAUAUUUAUUUAGGGGUUGCUAGCCAGCAACUUUGAAUUACUGUCUUAUUUUGCUAUAAAGCUGCUCCAAAUUCCAGUUCGGUGGGCGAAUUGGUGAUUGGACUUGAGGUUAAUGCACUUCUUAUAUUUAUAUCUAUUUCUGUUGUUCUUUCCUUUUUUGUUUUUCAUUUCUCUGAAUUUUUUAAAAUCUGAUAUGAUCCAAUAUUCUAUUAUGCUUUUCCAUUUCAAUUUUCAUCUUUGAUUCUUCUCUAAUUUUUAAUGUAAUUUGAUGCUUUGAUCUGUUAUUUAUGGUGGCAAAGUGUCAAUUAGGCAGGAUCUUCUUUCCAUUUGAGUGGUUAUUACAUUGUUAAAUAAGGAUACCAGCUUCCUAAUAUUGUAGAUUAUUUGGGUAUGCCACUUCUUUUUAUACAUGAUCUGUAUAUAGGUUCUGCUGUUUACUCCGAAUGCAAUUUUUGUGAUGGUUUCUGUCCUAAGGGGAUGAAGUUCACUGUUUGGAAAUUAUGAGAAGUGGUGAUGAAAAGAAAAAAUGUCAGCUUUUUGUUUCAGAACUUACGCUUGUAGUGUUCCAUGUGAAGCCUGAUGGGAACAGUUAGUUCAUUUAAAAUUUCAAGCUCAUAACAUUAUAAAAAAGUUUGACCUGGAGACCAAACAUUAUCAGAUCCCAAAAAAUGGAGUUCAAUUUAUGUUCACAAAGAUGGAGCUUGGAAAUGGCUGAAAAUUUAUUCAUUUCUUUUAAAUUUAUGUGGCAGUUAUCUGGAACUUGUUCUUUGAUUUGCAUUUCAGGAAGAUCAUAUAAAAGUUGCAGAACUGUGAGGCUAAGAAAAUUCAAUCUAUAAGUUGAGCAUGAGUCAACCUAAAAUCAAGCGUAGAGUGGGUAAAUAUGAGGUGGGAAGAACAAUCGGUGAGGGAACAUUUGCAAAAGUGAAGUUUGCAAGGAACUCUGAGACUGGAGACCCUGUGGCUUUGAAGAUUCUUGACAAAGAGAAGGUUCUUAAACACAAGAUGGCUGAACAGGUCUGGUUUGUUGUUAUUUUUUUUAAAUUUUUUUUGCAAAUGGUACCAUCUUCAGUUUUACUUUCUUCACUCCUGUUUCUUUAUGGAGUGUAUUAUUGUAAGCUGCGCUUGUUCAUCAAUUCCUUCCUGUUAUUCUGAAGGCUAUUGCCUUGUUCUUUCGUUCAUUUUUUCUAUGGCUUACUUUUUUUACAUCAAUCCCCAUGGUCCCAGGAGAUCCUUUUUUUCAUUUUUUUUUAAUCUUUUGAAAAACUUUUUCGAGCUAUUGUAUUAAGAAUUGCAUGUAAGUUGCAUCAUGUCUCUAAAUGUUUGAUCUUGCUUUUACAGAUCAAGCGAGAGGUAGCAACAAUGAAGCUUAUAAAGCAUCCAAAUGUUGUUCGUUUAUAUGAGGUCUCUCUCUCUCAUUUCCUUUUGUAUUUACCCUAUUGUUGUAACUUGUUAAGUAAAUUCUUUUAAUUAUGACUUCUAAAUCAGAAAUGUACUUUUGGUUUUCUCUUACAUCUUUAUCUGCCAUAUGUAGGCGAUGUCAGAUUUUCUGGUUAUUUUUCAUGCAUGCAUGUUGCUAGGAACUGUUGAUGGUAAUUUUGCUAAGACAUCAUUUGCACCUGUUUCCCAUGGAAAUGAAAUUUAGCAUCUCCUUUAGGAAUUGAGGAAGAAUCAUCAACAAUGAUAGAAUGCAUUGAAUCCUGUAUCAUUUGGGACAGUGAUUAUGAAUCCCUUAUAAGAGCACUUUGAGCUAGUUUUUGAGCUGAUCCAAAUUUAACAUGUUAUCAUAGCCUUCCAUCCGAUGUUGGGCCUCUCUUAAAUAUUUCACGCUACAGUUUAUUUCUAAGCGUGGGGUUUGUGUCGAAUCCCAUAUCAGUUAUGGGAUAGAUGAUUCAGUGGAACAUGCUUCCAAAUUGAUAAUCCUAAACAACACUUUGAAUUUCCUGCAGCAAAAUUGUGGAGUUUAGUUCAUGACAUGAUCUUUUUGCUAGUAAAAGAUUUUAUUUUAAUGUUGUUAGCAAUUUCCAUCUCCAGUUUGAGUUAAAUCUAAGAUUCUUUGUUAUGUAAGCUACUAUUUUGGUAUUUUUAGUAUUAUGUGCUUAAAUAUAAUUAUGAUUGGUCUGUCCAAAAUUAUUACUUGAAGAAACCUGAGUAAAGAUGCAAGAUGUAAAAUCCAUAUACUUGGUGUAAGCUUUAUCAAACAUUUAACUCUUUUCCAGGUGAUGGGAAGCAAGACAAAGAUUUUCAUUGUCUUGGAGUUUGUUACUGGGGGAGAGCUUUUCGACAAAAUUGUAAGUUGGUGUCCAGUUCAAACUUUUUUCCAUUUCACUUCUACUUGGCUUGGUAUUCCCAAUGGAUUUAAGAACUCAUCCAUUUGACACCAUUAAAAUUACUUGCAAAUCUGUCAAUUUAUCUUGAAGGCAGGUGCUCAUUGUCUAUUAACCAUUAAAAACUUUCCCCUUUGGAUAAUUGUCAUAUAUAUUCAUUUAUAAUAAUGCUGUCGUCUGUCGAUAGGAGCAAAGGUUUGAAUUGGUUGGAUGUUUGUUUUCCCUCACAAUUACCAAACUACUUUUUGAGCUUGUCUUUGCGUGACCAUGUGUUUGUUAUGAAGGUAAACCAUGGACGGAUGCGAGAAGAUGAAGCUCGGAGGUAUUUCCAGCAGCUUAUUAAUGCAGUGGAUUACUGCCACAGUAGGGGUGUCUACCACAGAGACCUGAAGGUGCUCUAUAACUUUUAUCAACCUAUAAACACAUAGAUGACACAUUCAUUACUCUUUUAUGACAGAUGCCUGAUACACCUGUUGUGCUUACCAUAAAUGUGCAUAAUCUUGCUUUAACUGCAGCCAGAAAACCUGCUGUUGGAUGCUAACGGCAACCUCAAAGUUUCUGAUUUUGGACUCAGUGCAUUGUCCCAACAAGUCAGGGUAAUUAUUGUAAAAUUUUCAUUUCUUAGCUCAAUUAAUUGUUGACAUCACUUAUCCACCCAAAUCCUACUACAAAUCAGACCAAUUUCAUUACUGGAAUGGGCCUGAUGAGUGGGUUUUUUUGAAGUUUCUUACAUGAUCGGCUUUACAUGAAUUUAUUCUCAUCUAAAGUUUAUUUUCCAGGAUGAUGGCCUACUUCAUACUACUUGUGGAACUCCAAAUUAUGUUGCUCCUGAGGUUUAUAUCAGUUUUAUGCCAACAUUUUUCUGCCGUUUAUGUCACCUUUGGAUCUUUGGCCUCUAUGGUGUACUUUUUUGAUGUUCAGGUUCUUAAUGAUAGAGGUUAUGAUGGGGCAACUGCAGACAUGUGGUCUUGUGGAGUGAUACUAUUUGUACUGCUUGCAGGGUACUUGCCUUUUGAUGAUCCUAAUCUUAUGAACCUGUAUAAAAAAGUGAGCAUUUUACAGAUUUUCUUGGAACUAUUCUUUAUUGUUCUCUGUCCUUUGGUAUUCACUUUCCCUUUCCUAUAUGCAGAUUUCAGCAGCUGAGUUCACUUGCCCCCCCUGGCUUUCCUUUGGUGCCAUGAAAUUGAUCACUAGAAUUUUGGAUCCAAAUCCUAUGACCGUAAGUAGUUGUACUUUAGUAACUUCCUUUACUUCUUUUGCUACAUUAAAUAGCUUGUUACUGAUAACUUUGAUUUUCAAAAUUAAGAGAAAUAUCUACUAUAUUGGCUCUAUUUAGAUGUUAUUGAAAUUGAAUGGAAAUGAUGCUCAUAUUUGUGCAUGAAGCCAACAUUGAUGGAAAUGGUGACAUGUAUCUUGGGAUAAUGUAGUUUGUAUCCAUUAGUGGCAAAUGAGGAACACAUCCUUUUGUUGCUUCUGCAAGAGUAGAAUUCAACAUGUUUAUCAUAUUUCUAUUGGGUGGAGGAGUGCUAGUCAGAUUUGAUGCUGGCUUUUCCCAUUUAUAAGCCUAGUAACACUUUGAAAAAAUGAAAAUUUUUAUAUUCUUCUUUAGUUUAAUUAUGCUACAAUCUUCUAGAGAGAUUUGUAAGGGAGCAAGUGCUGUGGAGCUGAUUCUAGACGAUUGAGCUUUCAGUGCUUCACCUGACGCAGCAAACUUGCUAUCAGUUACAGUUUUGUUCUUUUAUAAAUUUAUUUUAUUUAUUUGUCUUAUUUUUCCAUUUGGUUUAUGUCUCUGAUUUAAAAUUUAUUUUUAUGUUAGCGCAUCACUAUCCCUGAAAUCUUGGAAGAUGAAUGGUUUAAGAAAGAUUAUAAGCCCCCUGUAUUUGAGGAGAAAGAAGACACCAACUUGGAUGAUGUUGAAGCUGUUUUUAAGGACUCAGAAGUAAGUGCAAGAAUUUAUAGAACAAUUAUAUGCAAUUCGGAGAACUUGUCGCAAUUGUUUUGCAAUUCUGCAUGAUAGUGUUUGUUGAAGUGUACUUCACUGGCAUUGUUGCAGGAACAUCAUGUAACUGAGAAGAAGGAAGAACAGCCAACAGCAAUGAAUGCAUUUGAGUUAAUUUCUAUGUCAAAAGGACUAAAUCUCGGGAAUUUGUUUGAUGCAGAACAGGUUAGCAUGUUAGAAGGCUUUCUUACUUUAUACUUUUGCACAAUAUUCAAAAUGGAUUAGUUCUCUUCAUGUGUGUGCAUGUGCAUGUGCAAGCACUGGUGCAUUUAUUAAAGGGAAUGGUAGUGCAGCAAACAUCCCGUUCUGCUUUUGAGGAAGGGUUGAUGUUAAAAUAUUAUUCUGUUUAUAGGCGGGUGAAAUCCAGUAGUCAGGAUGUGUAUUUGUGUAUGCAUUUCCUUGAUCCUGUUGUAAUUUUAGCAUUAUAGGCCUAAUCCCAAACUAGUUGGGGUCUGCUGUUGAAUCCUUUUUUACCGUUCAGUUAAGUUUAUCAAUUCUGCAUCAAUAUUGUAAAUCUUAUGAUGCUAUUCUUUGUUAAGAAUCAAAUAAUCACACGAUCUAAAAAAUAAGUAUGAAAAAAAAAUCAACACGUAGAUUUAAUAGAUUUAAUGUGGUUUACCAAUUUGACUACAUCUACGACGGUUAGAGUUUUUUUUAUUGCUCUGUGAGUUUUCGAACAGAAUCUACUAAGAGUUGGAUCCGCGACCGUGGGUUAACGGUAUACAGUCUAUAAUAUAUCAUUAGACUCCAUAUCUUAACUUUCUUUUCCGCAUCACUUCAGUCCUUCCACCACUAAUUUGUCACAUUUUCGUACUAAGGGAUUUGAUGAUCUAUGUUGUACCUGACCAAAUCAUCUUAAUCGAGACUCUCACAUUUUAUCCUCAAUUUGUGCUACAUUGACUUUCUAUCAGAUGAUGUAUUUCCUAGACUUAUCAACUAUCGUGUAAUCAGAAUCUAUCUUAACAUUCACAUUUUGCCACAAUUAUCCUGUGGAUGUGGUUGUAACUCAGUCUUAGAUGCCAAUAUUCAAUCCCAUACAACUUUCCUAACUGAACCACAGUUCUAUAGAGCUUAUUUUUCACUUCGUCUAAGGAUUUCAUAGAGAGGUCAAGUCACCAAAAUCGAAUGGGAAUGCAUACACGCACAUGCCAAGGGGAUGUUUGAAACAUUCCAAGACCUCUCAUUGCUACGAGGCUAUAUGUUCGUAUGUCCCCAUGUUAAUUAAUUGAAGGCAAAAUAGCAGAGAAUUACUAUUCUAACCUCUUUAAGGUGAUUUAGUGACCAGCACAUGUUUUUCUCUAAUCAUAUUUUGUGACUAAUGGGUUGGCUGCAGGGCUUCAAGAGGGAAACAAGGUUCACAUCUAAACGCCCUGCUAAUGAGAUAAUCCAUAAGAUUGAAGAAGCUGCAAAGCCACUUGGUUUUGAUGUUCACAAGAAAAACUACAAGGUGGGCAAAAUGUGAACAGUGUACCUCUUUAUUUUUUGGCUAAAGAGCAAGUGUCUGAUGUAAUGUAUAUUAAUCGUCUUUCUCAGAUGAGACUUGAAAAUAUGAAAGCUGGUAGAAAGGGAAACCUUAAUGUUGCCACUGAGGUCAGCAAUAAUGAAAUUCCUUGUUAUGGUAUACUCAGUAGUCAUUUUGUAUUACUUCUUCAUUUCUUACUUGUCUACCAGAUUUUCCAAGUGGCACCUUCUCUACAUAUGGUUGAAGUGCGGAAAGCAAAAGGAGACACCUUGGAAUUCCAUAAGGUAUCAUUUCUCUUAUUGUUGAAAAAGUUUGUAUUGUCUAAAUAGGGUUGAUAUGUGUGCAAGAAAAUACCAAAGACACUGAAAUAUUUAUUUACAUGAUGAGGGAAACUGUAUUUACCAUUUAUGUGCCUUCUGGAUAGGCAAGUUUAAAUCUAUAUCCAAGAAUUAAAUGCUGCUUACAAAAUCACUCCUUUGAAGAGCUAAUGCACAUCAACAAAACACGAAACAUAAGUAGCCAUCUGUUCUUAAUUUCUCUGGAGAGGAUUCUUUGGUCUUUCAAGCUUUGAAAUUUUACUUAGUCAAUGUCCACCAAAUGGCCAAACGAUGGGACCCACACCUAUUUCUUCCAUGGUCAAUGAACUGAUCCUCUCAGUUACACUUGAAAAAGAAAAGGGUCUGGAUUUGGAUCCUGUUCCCUGGUGUCAUGCAUGUCCUAGUGGCAUGUUUUCCAAUGGGUUUUUGUCUGGUCAAGCAUGUAGAACUGAAGUCAGCUGAUUGGAAUUAAGCAAUUAUCUGAAAGCUUGACCUUCUGACACACUGAUUUACAAGUCCAAUGUUUUUAAUCAUGCUUAUCAGGUAAUGCUUUUGGUUGCAGAAACUGUUGUUCAAGUUGAUCAUGUUUUUGUAUAUUUGAUGUUUUCUAUGCAGUUCUAUAAAAAUCUUUCAACCUGCCUCGAUGAUGUUGUCUGGAAAUCUGAGGAUGACAUGCAAGAGAUGAAGUAAAAAUGGGGCCUGUUGUCAGGAGGGAUGAUCACAUGUUUUGUUUGUGUUAUCUUGCCAAAUGUAUCAUACUUGUUCUAUAUCUUCAUUCUUUACCACUAUCUUUUACUGGGAUCAUUCCAUCUCUGUAGAAUUUGAGAGACGUGUCGUCACCAAUUAUUUUCCUUGCUAUUAUUGUUGGAAAGCAUGGAAAAUUCUCAUAGGGUCGUUUGGUUUUGUCUUUGACUGGAAGAUGUCAAUAACGAGAGAUUUGGCAAAUUAAAGUGUUUGUAUAUGUUUCCUUUUUGGUAUAUAUACUGUUGCUUUUCUUGGAAAUUAUUGCCACGCCCUCAUUUUUUUAAUCUGUUGGUUUUUCUUUCUGUGUUUUCUUCCUUAACAUGACUGCGGUGGAAGGAAAGAUUCAGCAUGGUUAGACGUUUAGUUAUAAUUUUGAAUUGAUUAAUGUCCAGUGUUUUAUGUGAACAUCGCAUUGGAGUUGUUUAUGCAUAUUCAAAUGAGUUUUGGCCUUGAGUGGAACUGUAAGGUGGCAUGUAAUCCUCAUUGUAGUUUUGCUCUUUUAAUAUUGUUGGAUUGUUACCCAUGAUUCUCUUUCCCUUUUUUCAUUUAUGGAGGCUCUGAUAUUCCUAUAAUUCAUAUUAAAGAAGUGCAGAUUAAAAAAACAAAAGAAGAGAUAAAGCAGUAUCUCAUUAUGAAAGCUACACUCUUAUGUAACAUUGCUGAAGAGGACGACUUGCACCUUGGAUUGCAAGUGCCAGAUUAGAAUCAGGGAUAUUUUCGAGCUGCUUACAAAGCAUUAGAAUCACGUUCGUCCACAUCUGUCUAUUGUAUUUAAAACUUUUAAUAAUGUUUCUAAAAUUUUUCACAAUAAUAUUAAAUCUCAAAUAAUUAUAAUAAUAAUAAAAAACACCCUUCUCGUCGUUACUAAAACGAGGUUGAAAACGACUCUCUUUAUGCCUCCUGAUUUUACCAAGAGAUUGCAGUCCAAAAUGGUAUCCUCAACAGAUUGCUUAUUCUUUAACUUAGGCUGCGUAUUGCUUUGCAGAAGCUUGUGAUGAUAAUUUUCCUGCAUUUGUUAACAAGUCGUGCAAGUAUAGGAAUGAUGCAAAUUUUUUUUAAAAAAAAAAAUAAAUUUCAAUUUCCUCACCUAGCUAACAUCAUUAUAUUUGUCAUGAAUCAUAUCUACCUACAAAUUAUUAGUUUGUAAGUGUUAACAUAUACUUGGUACUUCUGUGAAGGUGAUAGUAAAGGCAAAUAAUAUUGCAGCAGUUAGAAGGUAAGAAUUCACUGCUCAUGCUAUAAUUUAAGAGAGAACAAGAGGAGAAACAGAUUAAGAUAAUUACGACUAAAAUGUUUGAGCAGAUGAAUGACAGGAGCUGACAAGUGUUGACACAACCCUACCUUUUUUUUUUUUCACAACCCUACUUAACCAGGUGAAGUUAGUAAAGCAAGACAUGCACAAUUAAUUAGUAGGGUGAUCCGUUUGAAAGAUCAGCUUAUAAAGCUUAGACUGAAGGGUAGCUGAUGAAUUGAGUCUGGAUCAACUUGACAUUUGUGCAUAGCAAACGUCUCUGCAACAAUUAAUCAUAGUAAUAUUCUGCUGGAUGCACUAAUAAUAAUCCAAUCUUCGGUGCAUGGAUCAAAUUCAAAUGACGUUUUCACGCAAUGCUCUUUCCCAUCCUUUUUUUCCCCCAAUCCUUUAUACCCAAGUAAAUGAUGAAAAUGCUAAUGGCAGUGAUCAUAGGUAAAUCAUCAUUUUUAGAGAAAAAAAAAGAAAGAAAAAAAAAAAGCAACUGUUUAUAGCCAUUUCUGUACAUUCAGUGUACUCUACGGAUAGAGGAAUACAUGCUACCUCUUCUUUCAAAUAAGGCAAAAUCAACGAAGGCGCUGUUGGACAGGGCACACAUGCACCGGCUGCCGUAGAGAGAGUGGGGAAUCAGUUCCUUCCAAUCUGCAUUUAUCAGAAGAAAACCCACUAGGCAAGUAUAUGAAGAUGAGGAAAAAGCAGAAGGCGGCAUAAAACUUGAGGAGAAACGGAGAUCAAGUAUCAAAACUUACCACCUUAAGUAGCAGUAUUUCUUUCCUCAAAAAGAUAAAUAUUUCUUUAACUCUAGCUGAAGCCUGCAUAUCAAUCUCAAUAAGGGCAAAUCAAACAAGAAAUUAAGGGUGAAUUUAAACCUUCAGUUUAGUUCACCAAUCCUUUGUAAGAAGAAUGUAGAAGCAUUGUUCUUCCGCAUAAAUAAAAAAACCUACCUGACAACCGGACAUGAAAAACAUCUCAGAACAUCCAGUUACAUUUUCUGAUAUGUCAAGUCUGUAUCAUCAAAAUACAAAAUUUAGCAUCUGUCGAAGGCUUAAAAAGGCAUCCAUUUGGUUAUAUUACCUCCAGCAUACAAACCAUCAACUAGCACAGCAGGUGCAGAAACAAGAUAUGGAGAAAAGAGGAUGCUAGUAGCUACAACAUUCAACUAGAGUGCAUAAUAAUGCAUACUAGUAAACACGAAGAGAAUGACAAUUAAGAGGCACAAAAAUAUCGUGACCAAACAAGAAUUUAAAUAUGACAUCAGACUAAACUAGCAAACAAGCCAAGCCCAAUGGUGAAAAUUGAAAGAUCUAUAAAAGCAACAUAACCGACUAAAACAUGAGUUGGUGUGAGCUACAGCUAAGCACAAAGCAUUCUUUGUACUACCAAAAGUGUUGCAGGACUACGAAAAAUAGCAAUGAGUGUAACAGUGUGUCGGCAAAACCAGAAACUGGAAUCAAGAGUGCAACAUUCUAAUCAUUGCAAUUGAAACAAACUUGAUGCAGUGCCACUGCCGAUAUAUUGUCAAGCACUUCCAGCUCGAAUUUUGACAAACAUAUUGCAGUAAAAUUGCCAAAAGCACUAUUGUCAUAUUCUUCAUAUUUGGGGCUAGACCUAGAAGCAGACAGGCUGCAACAGACAGUACAGGCAUAAAAGCUUGAAAAACCAAGAAUGUAACAUGUUACCAAUUUGACAACAUUUGAUUGGUCACAUGAUACAAAUAACAAAAAUGAGUAAUUCAAUCUGAUGGCACUUGGGAUUCUUGAUACUGAAUGCACUUUCACUGGAAGAGUACGCUUUCAGCUAGUGAGCAAUUGACCAUAGUCUUAAUCUUCUAUGACACCAGUUCUAAUAGAAAACAAAUAACUACUGCAACUUGAAAAAAUAGUUUGUUCACCCAAAAGAGAAGAACAAAGAAGCACACAAAUAAAUAAAAUAAAAACAACAUGAAACAACAUUGUUUCACUGUAGUUACGAAUAUGAACAUAGAAGAAGUAAUCAUUAUAACAACCACCAUAUGGAAACUACUGAUUAUAACAUCUAAACCAAUGUACAUACAGACAAAAAAGGACUAAUCUUUUCAUCAAUAAAAUCCCAUUGGGCUCUGUCUUCCUCGGAUAUGGUAAGGCUAAGAACAAGAAUCCUGCACCUCAGGAUGAGCAGAAAUUACCAGAAUAACUGAUAAAUAAUUUAAGUAGCUCUUAUAUUUUUGAUUGAUCUUAUAAUUGCUCUAAAAUAUGAAUAUCCUACAUCAAAUUUGAUUUUUAUUCCAUGCAAUUGUGAACAGCGAUAAUACUAAAUUACAUAUUUUUUUCUGUCCUUGCAAAAUUUUGUAGAACUCUUGAAUGAUUUAACAUGCUUUAUCUGUUACCAUUACAGGAAUUGGUUGGAACCAUGAAUUAGAUCAAACCCUUUCCUAAACAUCUCAUCUAGCCAUCUUUGAGCCUCAUCUGUCCUUCCAUGCUUCAAAAGGCCAUGUACUAGGAUAUCAUACGUCCACCGAUUAGGUGCAUAACCUUUCUGACAUAGCCUAUCAAACAACUCAAGAGCAUCAUCCAUCUUACUCAUGCUUAGCCUCCUCAACAAUAUAUUGUAUGUGUAAAGGUCAAGUGGGAAGCACUGCUCAAUUACUUCUUCCAAGUUGUCAAUUUGUUGGGUCAGUCGAACCCGACCAGAAAACAGACCAAUGAGUUGGCCAAGGGCAUAAAUAUUGGGAGAAAUCUCAUUCUGCAUCUUACUCACUUGAACCCAAGCAUCAUAAAGCUCUUCACUUCCCAAGGAAUGCAACAAAAGAAUGUUACCUAUGAAGGACGUAACAUGGCGCCCAGCUUUCUCCAAGUCAAUAAUAACAUUUACGGCCAUUUCAUAUUGUUUAUUUGAGCACAGCAGCUUUAUAAGCUCCUCAUAGCAUUCAACGCUAGGAACCACUCCAUUGCUCCGCAUUUCCCUCAGAAAUUCCAAUGCAUGAUCCACUCUGUUGACUUUACAAAGACCACCAACCAUGGUGUUGUAAAGCUUUCUGCCAACCUUUCUUCUGUGACGCAAAUCAUCAAAGAAAUUUAGAGCAUCAUAUAUUCUCUCACUCUUUAUAUAACUUUGCAACAUAAGAAUGUCAGAACUCAGAUUAGGCUCAAUCCCACUUCUCUGCAUAAUAUCAAAUACUUCUCUGGCUAGUUCAGGCUUCUUUGCAUGUCCAGCUCCAUCAAUGAAGAAGUUAAAAAUCUGACGGUUAGGUUCGUGAGAAGAGAGUUGCACAUCCAACAAUUUGAAGAAUUGAGUUUCUGGGUUUUGCAUAUUACAGAAACUGCGAAUUACAGCUCUAAACAAAGUCCGAGUACCCAUAUGACCCUUAUCCUGCAUUUCAAUUAGAAGCCUAGCAGCAAUAUCCCCCUUGUUUAAUUUGUUAAAACCAUGAAUCAGGUUUGAGUAAAUAGUCUUUGUAGCAACUCUAUUCGAUCUAUUAAAUUCUCCUUGCAUCAAGUAACCAUCUUCUACCUUCCCAGCCCUACAUAGAGCUGAUAUAAACUUAUUGUACAGGGAAUCACUUGGCUUGAAAUUCCGCUCCAGAGAAAAAGAAACCAGCUCUUUCAUCAUGUUAAGCUUCCCUUCUCUACACAAUCCAUCUGCAAGUAUGGACAAUGUUCUGCUACCAGGGAAAUAACCUGGCUCAGUACAAUUCUUCAACACACUGUAAGCCUCAUCAACGUUCCCCUCUUCACAUAGAGAGUUUAUGAGAUAAUUACGAGCCAUGCUACUAGGUGAGAGCCCAAACUCUGAUUUGCAGUUGUACAAUUCAAGUGCAACACCUACCAUUCCAGCUUUGCAAAAAAAACAUAAUGCAGCAUUAAACGUGACCUCAUCAGCAGAAACCCCACUCUCCAUCAUCUCCAUCAACAAAUCACACGCUUCCGCAAGACGGUUCUCUUUUAAGACCCUCCACAGCAAAGCAUUGUACCGGAAAGCCCCAGGAAUAUAACAUUCUAAUGCCUUCUUCCGCUGCAAGAACUCCAAAGCCGCAUCAAUCUUACCAGCUUGAACAAGAUUCUUAAGCCACAAGCUAUAUGCAGGCUCCAUGGGCACCAACUCCAACUCCCUAAUCUCCUCAACCAACUGCCCAGCCUUGUCAAAUUGACCAUUUUGACAAUGUGCAUCCACAAUAACCCCCACUGCAUCCCCAUGGCUACACCCAUCGCAGUGUAAGAUCACUCGACGCAAAUAUGACUCGGCCUCAUCCAACAGUUUCUGCUUACACAAACUCUUAACUACUAUACAAUGCGUUAUAUGGUUCUCGAGGCCCCUCAGUGAAAUCUGCUUGGCAAUACAGUCAGCUGCAUCAAAAUAACUCUCUUCGACCAAAGAAUUGAGAAGUACAUGGUAAGCAAAGUCAUCCAAGUCAAGACCCUGAAAUCGCAUUUUACUGAAUAGUUGGAGUGCAACUUGCGGCCUGCCAGCAACAGAGUACCCAAUGACCAAAGUACCGUAAAAACCAUAACCGCACUUAUUAUGAACAAACCUAGAACCCUUAUAAUUAUCAAGGAAAUCAAGCAUAAGAGGCAUAAGCUUGCCCUUAGAGAGGAUCUUGAAAAUGGCGUGGAAGGUAGCACGAGUGUGAUAGAACCCACGUUGACGACCAGCCCAGUCGAAGAACUUAAGGCAAGAGAGGACAUCAUUGUUGGCAUUCCCGUGAUAAAGCACAUCAAGUACCAAUGAUUCAGUGAGGCGAAGGCCCAACUUUGAGAGGGCAAUCUCAUCCACCUCAUCUUGGGAGCUUAAAAUCUCGAAAACUCGAUCCAAGUAAUCAGGGUUUUUGCGCUGAAACCAUUCCUUAAAGGAUUGGACAACGUCCUUGUAAUUGAAGCUGAGAUGUUGAAUUGGAAUAGCAUGGGCAGUCGAAUAGGAAUAAUGAAAAAAGUAGAAGAAUUGUUGGUUAUUCAGAUUCACACGACUGAAGAGAGGAGCCGCAGCAGCAGCAGCAGAAGCAGAAGAAGAAGAAGAUACAGAAAAGAUAGUGGUGUUUUCGAAGAGAAGUUGUGAGGCAAGUAAAGCCUUCCUUGAUUUGGCUGGUAGCAUCGGCUCUUUUACGUUAGAUUUUUUUGAGCGGUGUAGAGGAUUUGCCUGCGGCUCCUCCUCGUUUUUGUUCUUGAAAGCCCAGCUCUCUUCUUACGCCGGCUUCCUCCUCUAACCAUUAGACUUUCCACCUUCCUUNNNNNNNNNNNNNNNNNNNNNNNNNNNNNNNNNNNNNNNNNNNNNNNNNNNNNNNNNNNNNNNNNNNNNNNNNNNNNNNNNNNNNNNNNNNNNNNNNNNNNNNNNNNNNNNNNNNNNNNNNNNNNNNNNNNNNNNNNNNNNNNNNNNNNNNNNNNNNNNNNNNNNNNNNNNNNNNNNNNNNNNNNNNNNNNNNNNNNNNNNNNNNNNNNNNNNNNNNNNNNNNNNNNNNNNNNNNNNNNNNNNNNNNNNNNNNNNNNNNNNNNNNNNNNNNNNNNNNNNNNNNNNNNNNNNNNNNNNNNNNNNNNNNNNNNNNNNNNNNNNNNNNNNNNNNNNNNNNNNNNNNNNNNNNNNNNNNNNNNNNNNNNNNNNNNNNNNNNNNNNNNNNNNNNNNNNNNNNNNNNNNNNNNNNNNNNNNNNNNNNNNNNNNNNNNNNNNNNNNNNNNNNNNNNNNNNNNNNNNNNNNNNNNNNNNNNNNNNNNNNNNNNNNNNNNNNNNNNNNNNNNNNNNNNNNNNNNNNNNNNNNNNNNNNNNNNNNNNNNNNNNNNNNNNNNNNNNNNNNNNNNNNNNNNNNNNNNNNNNNNNNNNNNNNNNNNNNNNNNNNNNNNNNNNNNNNNNNNNNNNNNNNNNNNNNNNNNNNNNNNNNNNNNNNNNNNNNNNNNNNNNNNNNNNNNNNNNNNNNNNNNNNNNNNNNNNNNNNNNNNNNNNNNNNNNNNNNNNNNNNNNNNNNNNNNNNNNNNNNNNNNNNNNNNNNNNNNNNNNNNNNNNNNNNNNNNNNNNNNNNNNNNNNNNNNNNNNNNNNNNNNNNNNNNNNNNNNNNNNNNNNNNNNNNNNNNNNNNNNNNNNNNNNNNNNNNNNNNNNNNNNNNNNNNNNNNNNNNNNNNNNNNNNNNNNNNNNNNNNNNNNNNNNNNNNNNNNNNNNNNNNNNNNNNNNNNNNNNNNNNNNNNNNNNNNNNNNNNNNNNNNNNNNNNNNNNNNNNNNNNNNNNNNNNNNNNNNNNNNNNNNNNNNNNNNNNNNNNNNNNNNNNNNNNNNNNNNNNNNNNNNNNNNNNNNNNNNNNNNNNNNNNNNNNNNNNNNNNNNNNNNNNNNNNNNNNNNNNNNNNNNNNNNNNNNNNNNNNNNNNNNNNNNNNNNNNNNNNNNNNNNNNNNNNNNNNNNNNNNNNNNNNNNNNNNNNNNNNNNNNNNNNNNNNNNNNNNNNNNNNNNNNNNNNNNNNNNNNNNNNNNNNNNNNNNNNNNNNNNNNNNNNNNNNNNNNNNNNUUCAUCAAAAACCAUUUGAAGUUGAAGAUCGUUAACUCAAUUAUUCAAUUUGGCUUAUAAUGUCGCACUAGGAAAAUAAAGACGAUCAAGAGAAUGCAGCGAUGAUAUUACUUGUAUGUAUGAAGCAUCUCGGAAGAUGACACUCUCCAGAAAGGAAAAAAAAGAAGCACAUCACUAAAUCAAGUUCCAAACUUUCUCUUCUUCAAAACUUUAUCAACUUGUUCAAAAGACAAGUGUAAAAUUCCAUGAGAAUGCAAGUAUUUUGUUCCAUUUUCACUACUGGAUGAAACUACCUGCAAAUGGUUUGCCUGCUCCCUACACACUUUUAACAGCUUAAUGGUCUCUCUAAUACAAGGAAAAAACACAUCAGGGCGAACACAAAAUGGUUGAAAAACUAGAAAUAACGCCUGCAUAUCAGCUUCAAAUUGAUCAAUCCCCCCACCGGAAAACUGGAUAUCACUAGAAAAAACGCUGCUCGAAAUGAACUGGUCAAGCCCAUCAGUAACGCUUCUCCACAAAUCCAAGAAGUCUUUUGGAUUAAGAUUUGACUUGAGAACGUUUAGCUGAACUUUAAUAGCAUCCAGUGCUUGGAUGAUAUCAACUGAUACUGCUAAAUCCACGGCUGCUGUAAUUCUAUUUGUAGUAAAAUUUUCUUGCUCUUCUUCAAAAUAUCUUUUGUUUUGCAGAUAUUCACAGGAAUGAGCUUCAAAAUGACGUAGCAGAAAGCAAAUUAUCUCCAAGAGCCAGUUAGUCUCAAGCUCCAACAGACUUUUAAUUUCUUCCCCAAAGAAGCUACUGUUGUCAGCAAGAUCACCAUUUCCAUCGAUAACAUCCCUUUCAGCAAUUCUCAUCUCUAAGAAGUUAACAUCAUCGCUCCACUCUUGCAGCUUGGAUUCAACAUAUCUGGCAGCAUUGAUUGAUCCGCACACUUUAAUUAAGGCAUCAUUUGGACAAUCGAGAAGGAACUCGGUGUUCUUGCAACGCAAAACCAAUACAUUAAGAAAAUGCCAGAGGAAUCGUCCAGCAGUUGAUUUGAUAAAUUGAAUAUGCGAAAAAAUAGAAGGCAAAGUUCUGCAACGUUCAAUCAUUUCCCAGGUGAUUUUAAGGACAGAAUCAGCUACUAAGGGAGCUUUGUAGUCCUCUCUAGUAAUGAGCAAAAAUUGUUCAGAUUCCUCACUGUUUUGAAAGUCAACCCCAGAUUCUUUACCAGUUGACCAAGCUUUCUCAUCUUUCAGUUCAAGUUUUAUUUUCUUCCAGGCAUUCUUGAGCUCUAUUUUUGCCCAAAUCUUAAGCCAGUCUGGCCUAUCACAAAAUAUCAUUAAUACUGAUAGACCCCUUGAGUCUUGUCUUUCAGACUCCAAGAAGAAAUGAAUUUCUGAAUUUACAAGCGAUUGCAUCCAUUUAUCAAAAGUGACAGCAUGAUCUAUCAAGUGAAGCCAUGAGGAUAUAACUUCCAGUUUCAUGUGUUUCUCCUUGUACUUUUCGGCAAGAUCAGAAACAACUUUUGCUAAAAACCCAGAAAGCAUCUGGAUCAUUGCAGAAACCCAAGCUUCUCUAGCGCUGUAACUCACCAAUCUUGCUCUGUCAAUCAAAGGCUGCAAAACAUCAUCUAUUCCCACAAUAAAGUCUCUUGUUAUCUUAUACACGAGAGCAAACAUGAAUUCUGGCUGUUCAGCCCAUUUACGGAAGUGGUAUUCCACUUGUGAUGCAAUUGGUGAAACAAGUUCAUCAAUGGCCCAAAGUCUCAUACUGCACUCCUUCCGUCCAAAAAUGUUAUGCUGUCGAUCUUCCCUCCUCAUCUGCAGAUGCUGCAAAGCACAAAGACCUAUAAAACUUAGGGAAUAAUACUUUCUUUUGUCUCCUUCCAUCAAAACAAGUGGAUUAGGAAGGCAGGCAAUUCCUCCACUAUCAACUGUUGACUUCAAAAGUUUAGGUGGCCAGCCUAAAGAAGCAAGAAGAGCACGGUGAUCAGCAAGAACUUGAGGCCGAACAACAGCUAAAAUUUUCUCUACUCUGAUAUCAACAGACUCCAAAAGUUGGGACCAUCGAGGAUGAAAUAUGACAACAUCAACCAAUAAAUCCUCAAUGUUGUUCAUCAGUUUAAUGGCUCUAUGUAGCCUCUCUUGCUUUGGACCAAAAUCCUGCAUUUAAAGCACAUAUUCAAAUUCUGUGAUAGACUAUCUAACCUAAUUAGCAUGCUGAUUGAAGUAUGGGGAAAACGAGAAAGAAGUCUUUACGGUUGAAAUUAGUGAAGUCAUAAACUUUGCUGAAAACAUAUUCCGAGCGUGAGAAUCUCCAAUACAGUAAACUGCAUCCUCAAGAUCUCCAACCAGAGCUUCCAACUGUAGUGCAGUAUCUGAAAUAAUUAACACUUAAGCUUAGAUGGCUGCCUCCUAAGCCAAGGUAAAAAAUGGCCAUUUCUGACACAAUAUCUAAUCUCAAAAUUGAUAGAGCCUAGUAUAAAAUGUAUUUAGAAAACUAAGAGAUAUUAACCUCAUGCAAUAAAAGACCAUUAGGAUAAAUGGUAUUGCCAGUUCAUAAAACUCUUGAUUUGCAAGGGUCAAGAGAGGAGCAUCUAUUGUACACAGCCUUUCUCAUGCAUUUUGCAAAGGGGCUAUUUUCAAACCCCAGUCAUAGAGAUGAUUGGGCACAACAAACAAAGAGAUGCACAAACUUGCAUAAUCAUAAUAUCUAGUUUGGAGAUAAAGAGUAAUAUUUGGAACUAUAGUAGUUUAACAAUAAUAAGAAUCUAAUUGGGAUGUCAAGGAAAACUAAAACAUCUUUCACCUUUAACAAGCUAUAAUUACUUAUAGUUUCAAAGAACAGGCAUACAAUAAUUUAAGGCAAUGAAAUAGCUGAAUCAUUAUAUCAAGAUCAAUGUGGAACUUCAGGAACAAUCAGGAAUUUCGUUAAAAUGAUGGUCACUCAAGUUUCCAUUCAACUUCAUUUAAUAAUACCAGGAAAAACUAUCAAGUGAAACAAAAGCUCUCACACUAAGAUUGUCUGAGCAUCAGUGAGUCGAGCAAUAAAAUCAUCUCCAAAACACACCAAUUUGGUUGAUAGUGAGAAUAGAAGGUUUCGUGAAUUUGAAACCUCCAUAUGCCUUAAUAUCUUCUUUAAAAUCCAUUACUUAAACCUUUGCUCCAAACAAGACGCUCACGUACCCAUUACUUUGAAAAUAAUCAUUUCCCUCCAAAAACUUCAUCCCAAACAGAAGCUUACUAGCAGAAAUUAGUCAAUAUACAUGGAGAAAUUCUGAAAUAUUCUCUUGACAUAAAGUUUACCGGUGAGACCCAUGUGACUUGUGAGUGUGAGGGGAUAGAACGUUGUACCGAGUGCACUAGGUUGUUCCCCGAAUGCCUCGUGACUCCAUUACCAACCAAGAAAAUCUUUUUUUUUUUUUUGCUGAAAAUCGGUAACAAAAUAGAAACACAAUAUGAAAUCGAAACUCACCCACGUAUCUGCGAAUAUUUUCAAUUCGUUUCAGGCAUUUGGCAAGUUGAGGUAACUCCUCACCCAGAAUCGUCUGAAUUUUCCUUGAACAAACCUCAUCUACCAAAAACAGCAUAAAACAAUGCUCAGUUUAUUAAUUUAAAGAACAGCUUCAAUAUCCCAAACACCAUAAGAUCAAAUGGCUAACAUUUGGAGGUGUGAAGACUGAGAUUCUCCAACAUGAUAUUAAGAUUGGAAACCGAUGAUUUAGCUCCAAAAGAGCGAGAAAUCCACGAAACGGUGCGUUUGGUUAGAUUUCUCUGAAGGUUCAGGAAACUAGCUUCCAAAUCGGCUAAGUUUGUUGUCAAAUCGGUUAAAAGAAGCGGAGCUUUGGCGUGAAGAUCUUCAUGGUUCCCCAAAUGCUGAUCCAGAAAAUCUCUGUGGCCCGAUGAGAGCUCAGUUUGCCUGGGCAGAACUCCGAAAGGGGGCGGUGGCGAUGGCGGUGGCAUUGGUUGAAAUUCACUGAUGCCAGCACGGGGACGCUACGCUAGUACCGGAAUCAAGAUGAAACGUUCGGUUUAAUUGCAAAUAUGAAAGAAUAUGUUGAACUGACACGAUAAAAAAAAUGUUGAACCGAAAUUUUUUUAUUUAAAUUAAUAAAACUUUUUAUUCACGAUAAUAUUUUAUAUUUUGAAAUAAAUUUAUUUAUUUUUUUACCAUGAAACCCCAAAUUGCAAAAGGGCACAGAUAUUAGGGGGCAAAGCCUUAAGAAAAUUCACCAAGCCCAAAACCCAUAAAUCAGAUGAAUCCAUAUCCACACUCAUAUCUGGCGUGACCCAUCCAAUAAUGGUUUCUACAAGUAGCUUCCAACAGUGCCCUCUCAUCGACCCACAACCAAAUGUUGCUCUUCACUGCCUCGAUCAACGCCGAUAAAACCGCGCCGAUCGCACCAGAAAAACCCUAAACCGAUUAACAACAAAACAUAAAAAAAACUACUAAGCGAUCCAAACAGCCAGAAAAUAACGGUAAUCAAGCUAAACAAUAAAAUCAGAGACAACAAUCAAUUAAAAACAACAAAAAAUCAGUAUGUAAACCUGUAAAUCAGGACACCAAAAUAAAACACAGAACCCAGUGAAACAGCAUCUAUAACCACCAGAAAAAGUUAAUUUACGGCGAUUUCAAUUUCAGAUACCCAUGAAACCACGGUUUGAAGCACUCUCCUCGCUCACCAAUCCCAUCGCGGACAGAAGCAACAUAACUUCUAAGUUAUGUUUUUUUAACUCAAAAUAAAUUUACAAGUUAUCUUUAAAUUAAAUAAAUAUAAUUUUAUUAAAUUAUCAGUAUAUAAUUAUAAAUUAUUAUUUCUAUUUUAAUAUUAAUUAAAUUCACUAAUAGUUUUAAACUUUUAGCGAGUAUAAUUGAAUAUAAAAAUCGCAUGAUAUCAAUUAGAUACUUGACCAUAAAUCAAAGUUAAAACUUUAUUUUAUAAAUAAAAAGGUUAAUUUAUUAAAUUCUGAAAAGGAUGAGAGUAUAAGAAAGCCAGCUUGAUUAGAAAAGUCUCAACUAAAACUCCAAUCCAAGCCUAUAUUAAAGAGAUACCCAUGGGCCAAACAAAAGAAAUCUCAAGCUAAUCGGGUAGCUCGAUCUAAGCCCAACUUCACCAAACACACUGAAGCUCAGCUCCACCUCCAAUGAAGAAGCAUAGCCAGUAGCCACUCAGAAGCUACCUUCGGCGAAAAUAACAAGAACAGGAACCAAGCAAGGGCUACAAAUAAUUUCCCCACUGCAAUAUCCUCUCGCAUCUCCUGCGUACUUUGAAAUCUAUCUACCCUCUUUCUCUAUCUAAUAUUUUAUCUCACUGUAUAAUAUAUGGUUCGUUUUGGUGAUUAAUCCUUCUAUAUUUGCAUUUAAAUUGUGCACGGGAAGGAAGAAAAGUGGACGAUUCAUCAAGCACCAUUGGGCCCUGUGUCGUCCUCAUUUGUAUCCUGUCGCUUCUGAGGUAAAAUCUUUAAGAGUUAUCUUAUUUCUUUGCAAAUGGAAGUUUAUUAUGGUCCCAUUACUUGAGGUUUCAGUUUGAUAUCCCGUAUUUCUCAACAUUUUCCAUAAUCCCAAAAAUUUUCAUUGUUCUUGACGUUUCUUGAAGAUUCCAGUUGAUUUCUUUCAACGAUUUAAUGUUGUGCAGUUUUAAGUGUAAUAUUCAUGUUUCCAUCAAUUACGUUGCUUCUGGGUCUUCUUCAAUCUGUUAAGUUUUUUCAGCAUCUUUGGGCUUUCUUACUGUACUUUCGAUUCUCUGUUUCUCUGACUACAAUCUACCCAGUUGGGAUUCGAAUUAUUUCUGGUUUACAGCUUGCAUGAACUAAUUUUAUUGUAAUAUUAACUGCAUGCUUUUCCUGUUAUAGGUUUUUGUGCGCUUUUAUGUCAAAUUAUACAUGUCUUUGGAUUUUUUUUUUUGUGAAGGGUCUUUUGUGAAAAACGAAGACUUAAAAAAGAAAAAUCUAUAAAGCUUCUGUAACUGUUAAAACUCUAUAUCAUUUCACUUUUCAUUCUCAACUUUGUGUUCUUAGUAUGUAAGCCAAAGUAGCUUAUAGAAUUUUAUGCAUUAGUGGAGCUAAUUCCAAAUUGGUGAAAUGACUUGUGGCAUGCAAAUGGAUGAAUAAGAAAAUUUUUGGUGGAACAAUUCAUGGAUAUGCUGCCAUAGUUUUGUGUAGCAAGGCAUUUUAGUUCAAAAUCGUGUUAGCUAGCAUUCAACAAAUAUGUGAAUAGAGAACAACCAGCAAAUGCUUUUUUUCUUCUUAUAAGAAAAAGAAAAGAAAAUAUCAAUUUUAAUCUAUGGUUGUAUAACUCGGUGCAUACUCAAAUCUGUCAUGAGAAGGGUUAUGGAUAGGAAAUGUGGUACUAGGCAUUGAAAUUGUCUGAUUCUUUGUUUAAUUAAUUAUAUGGGAAGGGGUAGGGCUGAUUUAGGUUAAGACCUUGUUUGGUUCAAAUGUGUUCUUUUCUGGGAAGUUACCUAACUUAACUAGGUUGGUAAGUAAGUUACUUUCCCUUUAUUAAGAAGAAAAACCCUUGAUUUCCCGGAAAAUUAAGAAGAAAUAUCAACCAAACAGAAAUAAUUUUUCACAUUUCCUAGGGAUUUUGAGUUAUCCCCAACCAAAUAAGACCUAAACUUUUGGGGGAAGUGGGGGACGCAUAAGUUUUACCUUAAUCUUUUAUAACCCAACCCAUAACAGCAUAUUUGCUCCCUUCAAUUUAGUCAGCUGCCUUCCUCAGCUUAAUUGUUGCCAAAUAUUCACAAAUUUUGUUGUUAAGAGCUAAAAAUCUCCUCAACUUAUUCAACCUAGACUAUCUUCACAUCCUCUCCUUUUUUUUUUUUCCUUAAUCUGUGUGCUUGAGAUAUAGCAAGUUCAAGGGACUAUCAGAGGGUGAAAUGGGAAACCAAAUGUUCAAAAAUGAACAGUGAAGUUGUUAGGAUCCACUUUAAUUAUUAUAGCAUUAGUAUAACUAUAAUAAGUAGUAAUGUUCUUUCUAGAAUUUAGAAUUGUAUUUGGACUAGACUAAUAGUUCAGUGAUUGAAUACUUACCUUGCCGUGUACUUGGUUGAGGAUUCAGACCCUUGCUUUUUGGUUUUCUCCCAUUUUGUCGUAUUGACGAAAAGGAUCUGAUCUAGUGCUCUUCUUGUGCUAUCAGAAUUCAGAGUUUGUAUAUUUGAUGGAUUUAUUUACACAUCUGCAAUAGAUAGAUCCGAGUUUUUUUGCUCCAUUUUUUAAGUAGUAGAGUUUCUAAUGCUUCAACAGUGGUCAAUGGUUCAUCUACUUUUUAUUUGUCCAUGGCAGGGUGGCUGUACAUUCUCUCAAAUGGAAGAUGACAUGAUAAUAGAUAAAAAGCGCAGAAAAAUUGCUUCCACUGAUUUUCUUUUACAGUGGAGCCAGUGGCAACUGCUUGAUUCCAUUCUUCCUACAGGUGGUUUUGCUCAUUCCUUCGGUCUUGAGGCAGCAAUGCAAGCACGCAUAAUCUUGGGUCAUGAAGAUUUUAAGAAUCAGGUGAUUCAUAUUUUGGAGAAUGCAGGAAGUUUGCUUCUUCCUUUUGUGUACUCUGCAACUCUCUCUCCGGAUUUGGAUACCUGGCAAAGGCUUGACAAAAUAUUGGAUGCAACUUUAACCAAUGAAGUAAGUCGAAAGGCAUCUAUUGCUCAAGGAUCAGCUCUCAUGAGGGUGGCUGCAGCUGUGUUUACUGAACUCCCUUAUCUUAAAGCCAUGAGAGAUGCAUGCAUUGGUUCUGGGGCUGUUUCUUUUCACCAUGCUCCCAUCUUUGGCAUGAUAUGUGGACUUCUUGGGAUGGAUAGUGAGACCUCUCAGAAAGCUUACAUUUUUAUCACAAUGAGGGAUGCAAUUUCUGCUGCAACAAGGCUUAAUUUGGUUGGACCCCUAGGUGCAGCUGUAUUGCAGCAUCAGCUGUGUGUGGUUGCUGAAAGUGUAUUGGAAAAGUGGAUGGACCAUACAGUUGAAGAAGCGUGCCAAACAGCUCCUUUGCUUGAUACUCUACAGGGCUGCCAUAGCUAUUUGUUUUCUAGAUUGUUUUGCUCUUGAUAUCUAAGGUAAGUGAGGGAGAAAUAAAUACUCUUCUUUGAUUAGUUUAUUAAGAAAAUCAGUGAGAAGUUUCUUAGAGUGGUUGAUUUUUUUUUUUUAAUAAUCUGGAAUGAAAUAUAAGAAAAAGAAUUAUAUAUCAUUAUUCCAUGAAUUCUGUAAGACUAAUCUAUUUUCCUUUAGAAAUGUUGUUUAAACGAAAAUAAAUUAUCAUUUAGUCAUCAAUUGAGACAUUAGAAAGGUUAACUACCAUAUGAGCCUUCUCCAUAUAUUAGCCUUGCAAACAAAGAAACCUUCUGACCCACUCCCUAUAUCAAUCUUCUAUGGAAAAUGUCAAUUUUUUAAUUGGAGCAUCUGCAUCUGACAAUGGCCUUUAUUAAUGGAUCUCAGCCUCUGUGUUAUUUAUCCUAUUAUGUUGGAGGAUUUAGAGUCUUAAUGGCGAUGGUAACAAUAUCAGUUUGACAGUCCUUUUUGCAAAGGGCUGUUACUUUCUAUUUAGGAGGAAGAUGCUUUGGCAUUUCGGCUACUCUCUCAUCCGCGUUUAAGUUUUGAUGAAUGAAUUUUUUUUUUUUCUGUGUUCGUUAGAUAUUCAAACUACUAAUAUAGUUUUUUUUUUUUUUUGAAAGAAAAAUCAAAGCUGAGAAUUUUUAGAAGGCAACUGAGAUUUAGCAGCUUGAUGCUUAGAAAAUCAGGAAACGAAUGUUGACAAUGUUCCAAUGGUUUAUAGUUAAUUCCUUCCAACUAUAAAUUACAUCACUAAGUGAACCCCUCGACCUGAAAGAGGGAAGAAAAUUGAAAGGAAUGAUAAUAAUUCCUGAAUUCUCUAGCAUCUAUCCUGUAUGUAUUAAACUAUAACUCAUGCCUAAACAAUAUGACGUUUACCAACUUCCUCGGGCAUGCUAUAUUUUUAAAGCUAAAAGGAAUGAAACUACAAUUCAACCUUAAUGACGUGAAAUUCACCUUCCUCAGGCAAGCUAUCCAAGCUAAAAGUAAGCAAAGCAGUGGAUGAAUCAUACACAAAAUCAACCACAUUGGAGUCCACGAUGCACUUCCUUGGCUUAGUUGCCGAAUAAGCACCAAACUUGCCACACCCUCUAAUCUCCAUGUACACUUCCCCAACCAAUUCAUUGUUGCAAUUCUCUACUCUCUCCUCACUCAGGAUACUGUUUUCACCCUUGUAUCCUUCCUCAAUCUCUGAUAGUUGCGCACCUCCUUUCACUUCAUAUUUAAGCCCCUCAAUGGCUCCACCAGCAUUGUACAUGGCUACGAGCCCAAAGGGUGCAAAGCUGAAUCCGGGUGCUAAAAUCUUGAUGGGUGUUACAGUGAAAAUAUCAUGCUCCAGAACUUUGAGUGACACCGGCAUUGAUACAUUGUAAGGGAGAAUGACGAGCUCCCCAGUUCGAUGGCCAUAAAUAGCAGUGUCACCGUUCCAGCUGGAAUCAGUGGCUGCUUCAGCUAUGAGAUGGACAUCGCGGCCCCUUAUGGCUCCUGUUAUAGCAUCAGAUUUGGUUUGGUGGAAUGUGUUCUUCCUCUCAACGCUGUUCCAGGCAGCACCUUGGCAAUUGUAGACUCCUAGGACCCCUGUGUAUUUGUUCAUGUUCCAUAUCUUCAACAAGCUGCAAUCAAAGAAUACUUUUUUCUGUUAAUAAAAUGUGCACAAACCUUGAGGAAAUAGAGGAAGGGAGUGUAGUCUAAUGUGAAAUAUCUCUUACCUAACACCAUCACGGGCUGGGUCAGAGCACAAACAGUCACGGGUAGGGCGGCCAGGCAAACGAGCUCGAAGAAUUGAGCCGUCAGGCAGGACCAGCUUCUUCAGUACCUUGAAGUCGUGCUUCCCGGGCUCAUCACUAGGAGCAAAAAUGGUCAUAAACUAUUAGCCAAGAGAAAAGGGCAUAAGGAUGGUUUUUAACAUUUUGUUUUGUUUCUGAGUUAAAAGACGAAAUACCUGACAUAGACAGGGCCACCGCUAAUGGCUCUAGCAGAUGCGUGAUAUUCAGCAGCUGGAUGGAGGGAAUGGAACAUAUCCCAAUCAGGCAGCAUAAAUUCUCCUAGAAAAACACUGUUGUAAGCCACUGCCGCUAUGUGGAUGGUAUGUGACACUGGGUCCCGCGGGAAGAAAUCAUCUGAUGCUCUCAUCACUGCCGUCUGUUUCGAGCUGUUUCAUGUACCCAAUAUUACAACAAAAAGAAGCUCAGUCAUUUAAUUGUUAAGAAUGGAAGGGAGUCAGGAAUAAGCCUAUCAAUUUUUCAAUAAUUCAUGACCAGUAAUUUAGUGAAAAAGGAGGGACACUCACCAAUAUAAUGCAUCAGUAUUAUGGCUCAUGCAAGCAAUGCACCCAUUAUCAGGGAAGUUCUUAGCCACAGAUGCAUCAAGAGCCUGAUGAUACUGCCUUGUCAACUCCACUCUUCCUCCCAAACCAGCACCUAGAGUCUCCAAUAUGCACUGCACGUCCACCUUAACCCCAUCUAUACCCGCAGAUGCCAAAUAACUAUGCAACUCAUUGUAAAAUGUGUGCACCUUCUUUGGAUUCACCAGCCCCAAUCCCUGCAACGCCAAUGCAUCAUUCUUCCAUGUUGGCUCAUUCUCCACCACCCCUUUUGACAACAUCGGGUACUUCAUCAACGACCCGUAUUUCUCCAUCUCCCUAGCUCCUGGACGGACCCCACCCCAGUAUCCGGUGAUCGCGUGCCAUACAUACACAUAUUUCAACCUGUGCUUCUGUUUCGCUAUGUUUACUAUGUUCUUUAUUCCAACCAUUGGAUCAUCUUUCUUUUGGAAUUUCGAAUUUUCUUUGAUCCCAGUCAACCUAAGCAACGGUUGCGGUUUGUUCUCUUUUUGAUCGUUGGAUAUGGUUUCCUCUUGCGGGUCACUACCAACUGAUUGCCAUCCAUCGUCAAUGAUCACGAAUUUUGGAAGGGUCCCACCAGCGGCCAAACUCUGGAGCCCAGCCUCCACCCCUUCUUGAGUCACUUCCUGGUAAAACGCGUCCCAGGUGCACCACCCAAAAUAAUCGACGAUCCCAGGCAAUUUUUUCUCGUGCCGUUGACGAAAAGUUUUCAAAUGUAACUUAACCUCUCUUAUCGCAUCAGUAAUCGUAGCAAACGGAUCCGUACCGGCGUGAAUGAACAGAGAGUGUGUAAACGACGACGCUUUGGUGUCAUCAUCGCCACUUUCUAAACAAAGCUCGAGCUCAUCGUUCGUGUUUCCCUGUAAACAAGCUCUGAAUGAUCCUUCAAUCAAAGGAAGGAAAACGGUGUAAAUGAUCUGAUUCUCUUCGUUUCCAUCGUCCGAUUCGAGCUGGGACCCAUCCUUAGUCUCAACUAGCAAAAAUUGUGUCUCCAGAGGAAUGUCCCUUCCGUGAUCUCCCAUUUUCUGGGCCAUCCACCAAAGCUUGAAACGGAAGCAGGCCAUGAACCUGACGUCACGUAAAGUUCCCAAAGGCACCACAUGCCGGCUAUUUUCCCCAUCGAAAAAUGCUCCGAGAAAGACUCCAUCCACCGGACCGGAAGACGAACCGGAUGUUGCUAUCACAUUCUCCGGUACUCCACUCAGGAUUGUGCGAUCCUUCACAAUUAGUUUCCGAUCUAAGAUUCGUACCGCCGAUUUGAUCGUCAUUUCUUCUAAUUGAUCCUCUUUCUUAAAUGCCGACAAAGAUAAUGCGCGAUGCGAAAAAUACUUGCGACCUAGAAGACAUAAACAAAAGAAUCAAACUUGGUGAGCAACUCAAUUUCCCAGCAUCCAAACAAAAAUAAAAUGGAGAAAAGAGAAUACUAUAAAUAGAGCGCCGGUUCUUGAUCGUCGUUGUGGUUGAGAUGUUAAGAAAGAAGGAAGAAUAUGAUUGAAUUGAAGGAAAACGAGAUAGAUGGGUGAAAUUUACAAGAGAUUCGGGAUUAAUUCUGGAAAAACAUGAUUUUGAAGUCAUCGUUAGUGCGUGAAUUUUAAGUUGUGCUUGUGCUGUUGAUGGUGUGCUCUUAUUGGCUGAGCAUACCCAAUCCUCAGACUGGUGGUUGAUUGUUCAAACUGCGAAGAUCGGAUUGCCACAUCAGAUCCACGCUGUACCAGUCCAAAACUUGAGCCUACACGUUUUUUUAAAAAAAAAAUUCUCUCUCCUUUUUGUACGCUUCUUAGACGAAUGAAAAAUUGUUCCAAAUUUCUUCUUUUAAUUCGAAGUUGUAGUGUUUCUGCAGCUGGUAAGGACUUCGAUAACAAAGAAAUGAAACAGAGAGGAGGGUAUGAAAAUAUACCUAGACAGAUAGAUUAAUUAAGAAGGAUGGUAAUCGCUGGCUGCUUUUCUUGAAAUGCCUUGUUGUUGUAUUGUGGGUUGAUGUGAAUGAAUAUUAUUGGGCAAGUGAAAUGCGAAGUGAGGGUGCGAGCUCAGAAGUGUGAUAUCCGUAGAGGACUGGGGUUGGGAUUCCUCUAAUUUAUAUUCGAAUAUGGGUAUGCAAAAUCAUUGAUUCUGGACAUCUCCAAUUGUAUGGUCUUGUCUCUGUCCGACCUGCUUUUGUUAAUAAUUAACUGCAACUUCGACAGGGUUAAUUGUGCUGAUAUGUUUCCACGCACUCGCUUUUGACCUUUUCUUCCUGAUUCAAACACGAGUUUGCUUCAAUAGUUAUCAUCCCACGUGGUGCCUGGAUGGUCUGAUAUGUCAUUGGAUUGCUGAUAGUAUCCGCCAAAAUCGUCCUAUCAAAUCUAUAUUUUUUUGAUAUUUUUAAUGUCUAUAAUAUAGUAAUUUUUUAAAAAUAAAUAAUUUUUAAAUAUUAUUUUUUUUGUUAUUAUCAAUUUUAAGUGUGAGCUGUAAUCUGGUCAUCACCACCUUCAUGAUGGUAAUCUUUUUUCUAUACAGGACUUGGUGUCAACUUGAUACCUUUCUAAAUUGUAAUGGUAAUUGUAAUCGUACAAAUUGUAAUGGUAAUUAUAAUCGUAAAGCUUCAGGUUUGAAAGUGAUUGAAAGGGUUUAAUAUUAGAAAUCAAUUAAUCAUUCAAUCUUCUAAUUUUAGAUAAUCACUAUCUUCUGUAGCGUGACUUGUAUGCAUGGGCUUCUGUUCUAAUGAUGUUAACAUUGUUGUUUAUUAUUAUGAAUACAAAAUUAUCCUUUUCAUUGAAUUUUAGAUGAAAUUUAAUUAUGUUAUUAUUUUAAUAUUAUUAAAUUAAGAUGUAAGCACACAAAUAUUUUUUAGAAAAUUUAACAUUUAAUAUGAGUAUCUACCCAUUAUUAAUAUAGAUAUCCUCAUCCAGUGGACAAAUUAGUUCAAUUUUCUAUUUAAUAUAGUCGCAUUUAAGAAAUUCCUCUAAUAUAUAUUUAUUAACUAACACCUGACUAAAAUUUAAUUAAAUAAUAAAAAAUUACUAUUUCACUCCAUAAGGAAUGUUAGUGAACUGCAUAUUCUUAGUUUCAAAAAUUAAAAUUUUAGUGUUUAUAAAAAUAAAUUAAACUGAAUUUAAAUAGAAAUUAAAUUAAAUUAAUUUAAUUUAAUUCGAUUUAAUCAGUUAAAUUUUUAAUAAAUAUUUUUUAUAUAUCAUUUUUAAUAUUUUAAAAUUUAAUUAAAAUAUUUUAAUAUUGAUUAUAGUCUAAUUUUUUUAUAUUAUUAAAAAUAAUAUAUAAUUAUUACUAAGCGAUUAAUAUUAGAGAACUUUUUUUUAAUCACAGUGGUUAUAUGUUUUUCUUUUGGCUUGUGUGGUGUUUGAGGUGUUAUUUUUUAUAGUUAAGAGUUAGUUGCUUAGGAUUUCAUCGGCAGCCUUCUUGCCUCCGUUUGGGCGUUUAGGCUUUGUAGUAGCAAUACCAAAAUUGCCUCUUCUCAGCAAAGGCCUUGGCCAAUAACUAUAACUUGUUUUUAUGUAGACAUGAAACUAUUUGUAUUGCGCCCUGGAUAUUUGGUUUGGGCCAUUAGCCCUGGUUGGUGUACUGUUGGGCCUAAAACAUUUUCUAAUAUAGUCAACUUCAAAAAAGGAAAAUUCCUAAUUUAAAGUAGAAUUCAUCCUAAUUCAGUCAUAAUUUUGAAAUAAAUUUAAUUAUACGUCGCAAGCAAUUCUAAAAAUCAAUUUCGAUUUUAUGCCAAUAUUUUCGUUUGAAAAGUUAACAUAGUUUUAAGAUAAGCAGCUUUGUUUUUUCUUUUAAUAAUAAUAAUAAUACAAACUCCAUCUGGUGGCUUGUAAUGAUUCAAUCCCAGGCAGAUCUUUCAAUUCCAAAUGGCAAAACAAUAGCCUCCACAUCCUUAAAAAAAUCAGCAAGGAAUCUACAUCCAAUCCAAUAACCAAUAGAAUGGUGCUGAUGUGUAGAUUUCCUAAUCCACAAAUCUUCCCAUCUUUCAUUAUAACCCAUUUAUCUCCCAGCUUUCUUGACACUUGACAGACACCUCCUCUUCACAAAGUAAUUUAGACAUGGCAACCUCUGCAAUCCAACACUCUGCAUUUGCUGGGCAGACCGCUCUGAAGCAAUCAAAUGAGCUCGUUCGCAAGGUUGGCUCCUUCGACGGCGGUCGCUUUUCCAUGCGCAGAACUGUCAAGAGUGCUCCACCAAGCAUAUGGUAUUUAUUAUUCUCAAUUACAAAUUGUUAUUAUCUUAAUUUCUUAAAAAAUGGGGAUUAAGCCAAAUAAUUAGAAGAAGAAGAAGAGAAAACGAAUUUGUAGAGCUCAAAGGCAUCUUAUCUUUUAAGGAGAUGUCCAAGAAAAUAAGCAAAGAAAACUUGAGAGAGCUUUGGUUACGUGUAUGCAAGUUGCUUUGAGAAUAAACGGCUACUAUUUUGCGUUGGGGAUAUAUCUAACUGUAAUUCAUAAAACAGGUAUGGUCCAGACCGCCCAAAAUAUUUGGGUCCAUUCUCUGAGCAAACUCCCUCAUACCUUACUGGUGAAUUCCCCGGUGAUUAUGGAUGGGACACUGCUGGUUUGUCUGCAGAUCCAGAGACAUUUGCCAAGAACCGUGAGCUUGAGGUGAUCCACUGCAGAUGGGCUAUGCUUGGUGCACUUGGCUGCGUCUUCCCCGAAAUCCUAUCCAAGAAUGGUGUCAAAUUUGGCGAGGCAGUCUGGUUCAAAGCUGGAGCCCAAAUCUUUUCAGAAGGCGGUCUUGAUUAUCUUGGCAACCCUAACCUUAUCCACGCUCAGAGCAUCCUUGCAAUCUGGGCAGUUCAGGUUGUGCUAAUGGGAUUUGUUGAAGGCUAUAGAGUUGGUGGAGGACCACUCGGUGAAGGACUUGACCCCAUUUACCCUGGUGGUGCCUUUGACCCUCUGGGGUUAGCUGAUGAUCCUGAUGCAUUUGCAGAAUUGAAGGUGAAAGAGAUUAAGAACGGACGCUUGGCAAUGUUUUCCAUGUUUGGGUUCUUUGUUCAGGCUAUUGUAACUGGAAAGGGACCAAUUGAGAACCUCUUUGAUCACUUGGCUGAUCCAGUGGCCAACAAUGCAUGGGCUUAUGCCACUAACUUUGUUCCUGGAAAAUGAAGAGAGAAUCAGGUUCAACAUUACUCAGUCCUGGUGCUUUAAAUUUCUGGAAAUGUUCUUGUUGUGGAGGCCAUUAUUACUCUACGGGUGUUUUAGUAGUUGGAAAGCAUUGUAUCAACAGAACAUGAAAUCAGAUUUCUCCACGCUUGAAACUCUGUAUUUGGAAGGAAUGUGUCAUAAUUAAAUUUAAAAGCUUUCAGUCAAAACAUGACUUUUCAUUGCUAUAUACCACCAGUAAUAGUUGUAUGGUGAAAUUAACUCCUAGGCUGUGGAUCCAAAACACAGAUCAGUGGGAUCUCUCAUUUUCAUAUAUCUACAGACCGAAAUAACUCAUCUCCCUCUAUAAAAAUUCAAUUCAAUUUCUUAUUAAAUUUUUAUUUAAAAUAAAAAAAAUUAAAAUUUCAUUAUAUAUAAAAAUAAGUUUGAUGAAUAAUUUUAUAAAAAUUCAUUUAAACUCUUUUUCUUACAAAAUUAUUCAUAAACGAGGGGGUAAAAAGUUUUCCUGUCCCCAUAUUACCAAUGAAUAAACAAAGCUUACCGAUGAAUUGGCCUCUGCACUCUCCAACAUGGUCAUGCUAAUCAAGAGGUUGUUGCCCUUCAAUGGAAAAAGAAAAAUAUAUCAUGAAGAUAAUGGUUAAAAACAGAGUAUUGGGUGCUUCAUUCUGUUUAAAGUUUUUAGAAAAUAAAUUUACAUAAAAUGAAAAUUACAUAGGAAUUAGGAGCAUUUAUGCACCUAAGGACACUAAAUACAAAACGAGCUUAUUAAAACUGGUAUUUAUCGUAAUUCAAUUACAAUGCUGCUGAAAAAGGAAUUUAAUUAUAUAUCAUAAAUAUUUCUAGGGCUCCAUUUAUUUUAUAAAAAAUAACUUAAUUAUAGUUAGUUGCAAUAUUUAAAAUAAAGGGAUUAAUAAGAUUUUUAAAAAAAAUGAAAAUAGAAAAUUGGAGAGUAAAACAUGAAAUCUUUUAGAUUUAUUCAUAUUCAUUUGCAUUAUGCUAAAUCUGUGUGUGCAUGGAUUAAUAUGAUUUAUAUAUUUAAAAUAUGUUGAUGUUAAUAAAAUUCUUAAAAUUAAAAAAUAACUUUUAUUUUUUAAAUGAAAAAAUCAGUUCAUAUAUAAUAUAUGUCUUAAAAACUAAAGAAGAUAAAAAUAUUUUCCACAAAUAAAGCAUCCACUAAAAGUCAACCUGAAUUUUAUGCGUAGAUAAAAUUGUUUUAAAUUGGGUGUGAUUUUUUAUUUUCUCUAAAUACAAGAUAAUGUGAGUUAUUUCAAGUCAUGAAUCACUUAUAAUUACAAACUUGAAAGUAAGAUUGGCUAAAGACUACAUUGAUUUUUUUUUAAAAAAAAAUUAUUACUUAUUUUAUAAAAAAUAUUUUUUAAAAUAAUAAUUUAUUUAUUAACUUUUUAAUAUAUUCAAAGACAAAUAUAACUUUAUUUAAUAUGUAUUAAAAAAAAUAAAUUUAUUAGUUUCAAAUUUAAUUUUUUUCAAAAAAAAAAAAUUAAAGAGUAAAAUAUGAAAUAUUUCCUGUAUAUUUAAUUAUAUUUAUUAUUAAAUUAAAUCGAUAAAUACAAUUUUAAAAAAUAAUUUAUAAUGAGAGAAUGCGAGUUAAGGACAUAUAAAAAAUACCAUAUAGUUUUUUUUUUUUUGAAAUAGGGGGUUAGGGGAGUCGAAUUUUAGACCUUUCAAGACUAGAAAAUGCACUUUCCACCAGACUAAGUUUUGGAAUAACACCAUAUAGUUUUUAUUAUUUUAAUUAUAUUUUUUUCAAAAUUUUAAUUAUAUUUUUUUCAAAAUUUUAAUUAUAUUAAUUACAUUAUAUUACUGUGAAGUCUUUUUGACUCGAUUUGUGGCCUCUAUUCAAUCCAAGGAAGAUCUUUCAAUUCCACAUGGCAAGAGAGUAACCUCCACAUCCCUAAAAAAUCAACAAAGAAAUCUACAUCUAAUCCAAUAACCAAUAGAAUGGAGCUGAUGUGUAGAUUUCCCAAUCCACAAAUCUUCUCAUAGCCCAUUUAUCUCCCGGCUCUCUUGACACUUGACAGACACCUCCUCUCCACAAAAUUAGCAAAAGCUUCACAAAGCAAUUUAGACAUGGCAACCUCUGCAAUCCAACACUCCGCCUUUGCUGGGCAGACAGCUUUGAAGCAGUCAAAUGAGCUCGUCCGCAAGAUUGGUUCCUUCGGCGGCGGUCGCUUUUCCAUGCGCAGAACUGUCAAGAGUGCUCCACCAAGCAUAUGGUAUUUAUUAUUCUUAACCACCAAUUUAUUAUUAUCUUAAUUUCUUAACAAAUGAGGAUUAAGCCAAAUAAUUAGAAGAAGAAGAGAAAACGAAUUGUAGAUCUCAAAAGUAUUUGGGUAUUCGUGUUGGGAUCUAACGGCAUAAACUGUAAUUGAUAAAACAGGUAUGGCCCAGACCGUCCCAAGUAUUUGGGUCCGUUCUCUGAGCAAACACCAUCAUACCUUACUGGUGAAUUCCCCGGUGAUUAUGGAUGGGACACUGCUGGUUUAUCUGCAGAUCCUGAAACAUUUGCCAAGAACCGUGAGCUUGAAGUGAUCCACUGCAGAUGGGCUAUGCUUGGUGCACUUGGCUGCGUCUUCCCUGAAGUCCUUUCCAAGAAUGGUGUCAAAUUUGGCGAGGCAGUCUGGUUCAAAGCUGGAGCCCAAAUCUUUUCAGAAGGUGGUCUUGAUUAUCUUGGCAAUCCUAACCUUAUCCAUGCUCAGAGUAUCCUUGCAAUCUGGGCUGUUCAGGUCGUGCUAAUGGGAUUUGUUGAAGGCUAUAGAGUUGGUGGAGGACCACUUGGGGAAGGACUUGACCCUAUUUACCCUGGUGGUGCAUUUGAUCCUCUGGGACUAGCUGAUGAUCCUGAUGCAUUUGCAGAAUUGAAGGUGAAAGAGAUCAAGAAUGGACGCUUGGCAAUGUUUUCUAUGUUUGGAUUCUUCGUUCAAGCUAUUGUGACUGGAAAGGGACCUAUUGAGAAC